rnacentral:lncRNA from 1 species
CUCUCCUUCCCUUGCUCUCUCUCCCUCUCCUCCUCCUCACCGCCCCAUCUCUCUUUCUCUUUUCUUCAGGAGCUGCCCCAUGGAGCCAUGGCCGCGCCCCGCGAGCUCCAGCUCGACGGACCUCAAGCUGCCGCCGGAUUCGGCCGGGAAACGGAGGGAACCGUCCAUCCUCGACCUACGGUUGUCUCUGCCUCGCCGGAACGCCGCCGCCUCACGCCUUGCAAGAGCCAGCAACACUACCUCGACGACGCCGACGAGGAAGGCGACCAAGGGUUCGUGAUGCCGAGGCGGACGACGAGGAGCGGGAGGGCGUUCUUGCCGCAUAGGAAGAUGUUGGAGUCGGCGGCGUAGGGGAGGAGGGAGCGGCCAUUGCGGGGGGUUGCAUGGGAUGGCGACACCGCGCGCGCGGGAGGCGGCGUCAAAGGCGAAGACGGACUUGAGGCCUUGCUUCUUCAAGAUGUCCCCCACCUCCACCUGGUCCUGCGUGUACCCGCCCAGGGGCGACCGGAACAUGGCCACCGGCCCCCGGCCGCGGCGGAAGAGCUGCACCUCCACCUCAGGCGCGGCGGCCGGCUCGGAUCCGGGGCGGAAGCGAAGCUUGAGCGGGAGCAAAGCAGACGAUGAGGCAGCGGCGGCUUGCGUCCCAAUCGAAGUCAAAGCAGGAGGAGGCGCUCUUCUCUCUGGAUCGAGGCACUGUCCCGUCUGGAUGAAAAGCGGCAGGAGGAUUCGUCUGGAUGAAAAGCGGCAGGAGGAGGCGCUCGAUCCCGUCUCAAGGCGCUCGAUCCCGUCUGGAUGAGGCGCUCGAUCCCGUCGGGCGUCCCCGGCCGCGGCUGAAGAGCUGCACCUCCACCUCAGGCGCAGCGGCCGGCUCGGAUCCGGGCCUCCCAUUCUGGGCGGAGGCUCCUCCUGUCGCCGGAUCAGGUGUAGGGACCGCGGGUUAGUUCGGACUAAACACAGGGGGUUUUACAUAAAACGUAAAAAACGGUUUGACCCGACUUACAGAAAGACUGCGGGUUAAUUAUUUGAAACGGCGGGGACUUUUCUAAAAAACGCCACGACGGACAGAAGCGGUCCAUGCUUUAUUAUUAAGGAAGAAUAGAGAUAGAUAAAGAAAGAUAGUAUUCGUGCAACUCGCAAUAAGAAAACACACAAACGACUACAGCACGAGUACAUGCACGCCGGCGCAAUUACGGUGGAACGGUUUCGAGGAAGAAUGCUAGCUAGGUGUGCGCGGCACGGCUACGUAGCAAGACGGUGUCCAUGGUGAGCCCCGGGCCGAAGCCAAACAGGACGCCCCACUCGCACCCCUCUCCGGUGGUACCGCAUCCCUCCGCCGCCGACCACCGCCGUAUCUCGUCGAGGACGAACCACGCGCACGCGCUGCCCAUAUUCCCGUACUCGGCCAGCACCUUCCGGGACGCCCGCAUCUUCUCCGGCUCAAGUCCCAGCGCCGCCUCCACCUUGUCGAGGAUCGCGCGCCCCCCGGGGUGCACCGCCCAGAACAUGGAGUUCCUGUCGGCGCCGUCAGCGACGCCUGCGCCGUCGAGCGUGUCCUGGAGGCCGGCCUCGAUAUUUUUCGCGAUGAGCGACGGGACCUCGCUGAUGAGGCCGAAGGUCAGGCCCACCUCCCGGAUGAGCCCCUGAAUGGCGCUGCCGGUCUCCGGUAUGAGGUGCUGCGUCGCGUGCACGACGUCGAACAGCGGCUUCUCCGCGGCCGGGUCGGCGUCGGCCCCGACGACGAUGGCGGACGCCCCGUCCCCGAAGAGGGCCUGGCAGACCAGGUUGUCCAUGUGGGCGUCGUCGACGCCGCGGAAGUACAUGAGGUUGGUCUCCACGCACACGGCCAGCACGCGUGCCCCGCCGUUGUUCUCGGCGAGGUCCUUGGCCAGGCGCAGCGCCGCCGCGCCCACGAAGCAGCCCUGGUGGUAGAGUGCGACGCGCCGGACGGAGGGGGAGAGGCCGAGGAGCCGCAUGAUGUGGUAGUCGGCGCCGGGCAUGUCGCUGCCGCCGCUCGUCGAGCCCACGAUGAGGUGGGUGAUGUCCUCGAUACGACCACCCCACUCCUUGAGCGCAGCGGUGGCCGCAGCGGCGCCGAGCUCUGGGACCUUCUCGGAGAUGAUGGCCUGCCGCAUGUCCAGGCUAGGCGCCAUGUACGUGGCCAUCUCAGGAUUAGCAGCCAGCAGUGCCUCGUUGAUGUAGAGGUGCCGCUUCUUGAUGGUCGAUUUCUCACCUGCAGUUUUUACCGUUGAGUGUAGGUGAAUACAUACAGAUAUAAGAUCUUAUUGGCGGCACAGAUUUAAGACUAGCAGUUCCUUUUUUGUACUAGUACUAGCAGUAGCGGAGGCAGAACUUUUAUUUAGGUACGGCAGAUGCAAGCGGCCAGUCACACAUCAUCAUGAGAUUGAAGCUUUCCUUUAUAUGAUCGUGCAUAUAGCUUGAAGCUGGGAUUUUUUAAGGUGUGGCGGAGGCCAAACCUUGCCAGAUUGCUACCUCCGCCACUGAGUACUAGUUAUCAAGACUGAUCAUAGUCAAGAGUAUACAUAUGACACUAGUCUAAGUUACUCCAUUCAUAGUGCAAAAGAACAUUGUACUAAUGUCAUAGAUGGAUUUAUUUAUUAGCUUGUAGACUUAUCUUUUAUCGAAGUCGCUAUGUUACAAUAACAUACUCGUAGUAUGUUACUUUAAACACCUCUCUUCUCAUUACAUGACACAUAAGUUUUUUUUUAAAAUCUGUUACGUUACUAGCUAAGUUGCUUCCAACAUGACUUAGCCUAAACGCUCUAAUAUUUCGGUACUUUAUGGAAAAGUUGACUACGGUAGCAAGUUUUGCUUACAUAAACUACAUGAAAAUUUAAUAAAGCAGAGUAGUAUGAGACAUACUCGGCUAAUGCGAGAUCAACCUUGGCUUAUUGUAAGACGGGUGUCGAGAAUUUUCAUGAUUUUAAAUUCUCAUACUCGUAAUUGGAAAGCUAUGAAAGGAGACUCAUCAUUUUGCAAUAAAAAACAACCUAUAAAAUUCUUGACAAUUUUGAAAUCAGGCCAAGCGUUUUAACACAUGAAAUUUUUUUUGGCCCACCAGGAGCUGGUAGUGAGAAUCAAACCCGCAACCCAAAGUUAUGAGCCUUAUGCGAGGUACCAAACUAAUCCAUCCUCUUAAACUAAAGAGGGAUAACUAGCAGAUAAAGAGGGUUGGAUACAUCCCUCUACCGUAUCUAUACAAAUAGAAUAGUCUAUUUAUACAGAAUAGUGAAGAGGGGUUCUCUAUAAUUACCAUUUCCAAAAUUCCAUACAAAUAUGAAAGGGUAUUUUAUCCUUAACAAUUGGACCUUGUUGCACCUGGUAACAAACAUUCACAAACCAUUUCUCAAGGUACAUGUCCAGAUAGCUCAAAAUGUGGAUAAUUAGCUCUAGGUAUGUACUGGCUUAUGUGUCUUGGACUAUAUUAGACGGCUUACACAGUGUAAGCCAAGAUCCUAUUCACGUGCACUUGGCUUACUUAUAAGCUGAGAUCAAAACAAUGUCUCUUGGCGAAAUAAAGCAGCACGAUGGUCGUGUGAGCUAACGGUGGUGUCAAAUGGCACCUUUGUAAGCCGAGUGUACCACUUGGCUUAAGUUUCUCUCUAAGCCGAGUAUCGUAGGCCCCACAUGACGUAUACAUAUCCCGAGAGUCGUAAAUAAUUCAAUCUUAAAAAAUAGACGUACUUAAUUGCGUUAUCUAUUUUGAAAUGUUUCAGUACCCACGAGAGAGAAGUUAAUUUGCUAGAUUUAUUUAUGAAAAUUUACAAUGUUGAACUAAAAUGAUCAUUUUUUGAGUAAGAGACAUAAUAUCAUGGAUUUAGAGUCAUGAAAUUUCCAGCAUCAAAAUCAUACAUAUUCACUUCCACUUAAAAUUUGAAAUUUGGGAAAUCAUGCUUUCCUAUAAAUAAUUCUAAGUUUUUAUCACAGAAUUGUAAAAUUUCCUAUGAGAGACAUAAUUUUCCAAAGCUAGUAACAUACAAUUUAAGUCAAAUUCUUAAAAGUAAUGACUUAGUAUCACUGAAUGUUUUUCUAACAUUAAGUAACUUAAAUUAGUACGAGUAAUAUAUUUUCAAAAAUGAUUCACAGAAUUAGUAUAAUAAAUUUAUCUGCUUCUUAUAAGAAAUAUAAUUCCUUGGAUUUAGUAUAUUGCCAUUUCACCAGCUUUGUAUCAUGGAAUCCCACAAUAAUUCAAAUUACAAAAUAUUCUAAACUUUCAUGAAUUUCAAUGAGAAAUUUUCUUACUGUUCUCUUAGAAAUAGUACCAUGAAAUUCUCAGCUUCCAUUGAAGAGACACCCGUUUCCUAGCUAGAUAUAAUAUCACGAAACACGAAAAACUACUCUGUGUUUAUUUUAAAAUGGUGGAGCUGGACCGAAGCCAACAUCCUGGAAAGGAUGCUAAACUCUGACGUUGCGACGAUUGCUAGAUAAGAUCGAAGGGUUGGCGUUUCCACUCCAUGUGACCAAGAUCUCCAUGACCGACGUAAUGAUAUUGACUACCACCUACACAACUUACUGUCUAUUCCUAGCAAAUUAGGAACUUAGACAUGUGUAACAUAAGUCAACUACUCAACUACAAGUAUUCAUCACCGUCUGUUGUUCAUCGUAAUUCACAUGCAUGCAAUCUGGACGAGCCAACUGAAUCAUAUUCAGCCAACAAUUCCAUGUAAUUAUUGUGUGAAAAGCAAGGUGUGACAAUUUAAGUGCACAAUGAAGUACCUAUACAGCAGGAUAAAAGCUAUCCCAAAUUUAGGAGUAUCAUAUGUGCAAACAUAACAUUUUGAUCGGUAGAUGGCAUUUUAAUAUGGAAAAUAAACAAGUGCAGCCUAUGAUCCCCAUUUAACGCGAUUAAUGCCCAAUGAUUUUGUAAUUAGGCAUAGCGGGGAGUUAGUUAGACUAGUGUCAUACAUAUGACACUAGUCUAGGUUACUACCUUCAUAAUGCAAAGUAUCAUAUAUGGUUUCAUUUAUUAGGUUAUAGACCUUGCUUUGUGUUGCGUUAUGUGACGAUAACAUAUUAUCUUAGCACACACACUUAUAUCCUCAUUAUGCACAACUCAGCCCAAUCCAUGGUGCAACAUCCUCUUUUAGUCCACAUUUAAAGAGGUUAAUUUCUUUAAUUAUUACACAAUCCAUGGUGCAAUAUCCUCCUUUUUUAAGGAUGCAUGGCAGCAGCACAAUCCCUCCCUCCUUUUCUUUAAUCAUGCAUGCAUGCCCAAUUCAUGGUGCAAUGUUCUUCUAUUUUAACCACAUGCAUGAGAGCCCCAUAAUUAAUUCCUCUUUUGACCAUGCAUGCCCAAUCAAUGGCAACGUUCUGCUUUAACUAUGCAGGACAGCCCCAUAAUUCCUCUUUUAAUCGAAUGAUGAAAUUUCCUGCACUAAUCAUGCAUACUAUUUUUGAUUUCUUGUUGGUCUCCGUUCUCAAUUGAGAUUUCUGUCGGAAGGACUAUUAAUCGUUGCCGCGGACGAUGAACAAAAGUAGGCUGGUUGAACCCUUUACUUCUUAUAAUUAUCGGGUGGGCGAAAGAAAAAUUCAGAGAAAUGCACUGUCCUUUAUUAUUAGGUAUAGAUAUGCAAUUGUACAAAUAAGUCGAAAGGGUGCUAGCUUUAAUAAUAAUAUAUUUGAGGUUUUGCCAAAAAAUGUUACAAGUUUGCACAGUUUAAUAUGUAUUUUCAUUCAUAAAUAGAUAAACUUUGGAUGGUAUAAUUUUUUCCCUUUUUUUCGCCAGAUAUUAUAAUUAUUCUAUUUCAAAACAGAUGACAUCUUUAGUUUUCAUUUUCCCCAGUAUGAAAUUUUGGCAGUUAUAUAUAGGCACACAAUUACAAAAAUACUGUGAAUAUAUUUUCGUGGCAAAUCAAAAGAUAUAAUUUCAGCUUCCAUUACAGUAGGUUUAAUAUAUUUUUAUCACGAGGGCUUGGUUAUUUUUUGGUGAAAAACAAAUGAAAAGGUCCUUUCUCCAAAGACAAUAAAAUACGUACAUAUGCGCCUGAACUUGUCCUUGAGGUGUUGCUUGUGAUCACUGUUGGUGACACGGAAGUAGAAAUCUGGAAACGUGCUCUGCUCCAACACGUUGCUAGGGUUGGCCGUUCCUAUGGCCAAGAUGGAGGCCGUGCCCAUGGCCUUCUUCUGCCCAUGCACCCUAGGCACCUCACCCUGGCUACCCAUGCCUACGUCUACACUGGCUUCCUGAGCGUAAUGCUAGCUUCAAGAUGGAGGUUGUGCUUGGCUUCUCAACUCAUGGAGCUUAGCAUGCCUAUUUAUAAGGGGCUGCAUGUAUUGAUGGUAGGUGUGUAGCCUGAUCAACGCAUGCAUUAUACUCCUAUUCUUAUCUAUGGUGGACAUGGAGUAUAAUACAUGUAUUGAUGCGUAGGUGUGUGGCCUGAUCAACCCAUGCAUUAUCUCCGAUUCUUAUUUAUGGUGGACAUGGAGUAUAAUCGAUCCAUGUAUUGAUGCGUAGGUGUGUGCAAAGGUCAAGGAGUCCUAACUAAGAUUCUUAUUUUCAUUUCCUUGCUAAUUGUAUGAAUCUUCUUCCUACUCCCGACUUUUCCUUACCUGAUACGUACACCAAGUGUUAAAAUAGAAUGUGGUUGGUAUAUAUCCCUAGUCCACCAUGUUUUCUUUUUGGUUGUAGAGUUCGUUUGUUGCGGUGUCAUUAUCUGAAGUUAGUUGUGUGGCCUGAUCAAUGCAUUUUACUCCGAUUCUUAUUUACGGUGGAGUAGUAUAAUGCAUGUGUAGAUGCGUAGGUGUGUGGCCAUGUAUAUGUCAAGAAGAAUCCUAGCUCCGGUUCUGAUGUUCAUCUCCUAAUCGUUGAAUCUUCCUCCUACUCACUAAUUAUCAUUAGCUGAUACAUGCACUAACUUUUAAAAUAAAAGGUGGUUGGUAUAUAUCCCCACCAUAUUAUUAUUAUUUUGCGAAGGAGUUGGUUUGUUGAAGUGUCAUUAUCUGAUGUUGUGAGCUAUGACCUAAGCUCUUGAGGGAUUUCCGGCUACAUUUGACUAGUGCCAUAGGGAAGUUAGUUAUCACCCCGUAGGUGGAUGGCCCGAUCAAUUGCAUUGCAUGUAUUAUCCUUCUAUUCAUAUCAAGACAGUGUGUAUGCACAUGGUGCAAGUGGCCACGGAGUUUUUUACCCUUCAUGGAUGACGACAUAAUCUUCGGAUUGGUCCACCCCUUCUUUAACAUAGACAUAGUGUUGAUCUUAUAUGACUUUAUUGUAGCAAUUAUAUUGUUUUAUUUACUUUUCGUUGGACUCGUUGGUAGUUCUGUGCGGAGGGGUGCCAUGCGUGCACGUCGUUGAAAGUUCUGUGCAGCAAGGUGUCGUGUGGCGACUAGCGUGUGGUGUUGGUACUCACAGUGGUCACAUGCAUGGGCGUUGAUGUUCCUCGCUUGCUCGAGUGGAUGCGGCGGCCUUGGUCCAUGGUCUAGAUGAUGAUGCUCCUCAUGACGCGGAGAAGAGUGUGAGGGUGCAUUGGGACAUGAUGUGAUCAAUGACUGUGGGGAUAUGGGUCCUUGUGCUAAGAUCCGCGGUUGUGAUGAUGGACGCCACACUCGCAGUUGUUGGUAGAUGACAUGCAUGCUGGAGGGAGUGGCCCGUCGGAUGUGCUCCAACGUGCUGCUCGAAGGUUGGGCCGUGGCUCCAGAUGGCAGUUGUGGAGCUAUGGCAGGCCAUGAGGUGGCAUGUUAUCGAUGGGAUCUUGGUGAGGUGGGGAAUGGGGCAGGUUGAUGGACUAACCAAUCUCGUGGAUCGGGUGGAUGGAGGGCAAGGCAACACGAGGUAAAAACUUUGACCAUGGCUCUGGGCUGAGGCUGGCGAUGGCGACACCUUUGAGCAAUGCAUUCUCCCCGGGGUCAAUCGAUGAUGGCGCUCUGCAUCAUGCUUACCCCACGUGGGGGCUUAUCAUUUUUGGAGUGGUCACCGGCUCGAGGGACCAAUGGAUGCGAGAGGAUGUGAGUUCGUUACGACGAUUGCGGCAGAGGUCGAUGAAUGACGUGUUGGAUGAUGUUGAGUCUUCUAUGGUAACGAUGGCAGGGUGAGUGGUGAUGGAAGCGUGAUAUUGGUUUCAGUAGUAGACCCUUCUCCACUAUUUCCGUGGGACUGCCUCCGCUUGUUUGUUAUGGGGAAGUCAUCACUAUAGUGCGGGGUGGUCUAUUUGGUGGUCUUUCCCGGAGCUAGAGUCGCAUAUUUUUCCUUCGUAGAUCUCCCUUUGAGUCGAAGCUACAAUAUCCUCGUCGCGGCUGGCUGAGUUCUGACACAUGUCUCCACGUGUCUCGGCAAAGGAUCUACGGUGGUAGUUGGGUCGAUGAUCACUCGCUGCAAAGUCAGACUUGCUUGCUUAGUGAUUACGGAUGGCGAUCAUGUCUACUUGGGGAGAAAUGAUGACGAUCUUGUGUGCUAUCUCUUUGUAGAUGGGUCCAUGGAGUACCCUAUUUGUGCCGCUCAAUUGAUUAUUUCAGUUUUAGCUUAGUUUUUCAUUAAUUAGCUGAGCAAUUCACUUUUGCUUAAUUAAUAGACGAGACAAUCUUUUUCCUCUGUUCCAAAAAAUGUAGUUGGUAUAUGUCCUCAUCUUUUUUUUCUACGGGUUCAUUUGUUCCAUUGCUUUUAUUUGAAGUAGCUCCGAGUUUUGACAUAGGGAUUUCACUUCUAUAGGACAGUUAGUUGUCGUCCUAUAGGUGUGGAAGAGGAUUUGUGUCACACAGGUUCUGUGUGGGCCUGUGGGGGCAUCAAGCCCCUUGCGUGUAAUUUUUCAUUUUAUCUUCUGAAUUUCAAACAUCCAUAUCUUUUCAACUAAAAGUUUGAAUUAAGUUUCAUUUUCAUAUUGAGGUUGCUUGUCAUGGGGGCUGUCAAAUAAAAUCCAUUUUGAAUAUGUAAAUCAUUAAGUUUCAACAAUUGAAACUUAAGCUUUUACAAUUGAAACUAAGUGCGAGCGAACAAAAAAAUCGCAAGUUUGAACUGUAAAUGUCGAACUCUGAAACUUUGUGCGAGCAAACAACGAACUCGCAAGUUUUUAGAGACUCUGAACAUAAAAAACGUAAGUUUCAGAAACUAAAACUUAAAACUGGAUGUAUCGUCGUGCGAGAUCCAAUGACAUUGUAGAUCACGAGGAAAUCGGAAGGCCAAGUAGGGCUGCGCAGGUGCGUGCUCCCGCAGAUUGCGUCCAUAGGUGUGUGGCCCGAUCAACACAUGCAUUAUACUCCAAUUCUUAUUUAUCGUGGACAUAAACUAUACUGCAUGUAUUCGUGCAUAAGUGUGUGUGCCCAUGCAUAUGUCAAGGAAAUCCUAGCUCCGACUCUUAUUUUCAUGUCCUCAAUGUUGGAACCUCUUUCCUACUCCCAACCUUUUCUCAGCUGAUACAUACACCAAUUGUUAGCAUAAAAUGUGGUUGGUAUGUUCCAAGUCCACCAUGUUUUUUUAAUUCAAAGUUUGUCUGUUCCGUUGUCAUUAUCUGAAGCUAGCUCUGAGCUGUGACAUAGGGAUUUCUGAGUACAAUUUACUACUUCCAUUGGGCAGUUAGUUGUCGUCCCAUAGGCGUGUGCCUGAUCAACGCAUACAUUAUACUCCGAUUCUUAUUUAUGGUGGACAUUGAAGUAUAAUGCAUCUAUUGAUGAGUAGGUGUGUGGACCAUUCGUAUGUCAAGAAAAUCCUAGCUCCGAUUCUUAUUUUCAUGACCUCAUUGUUGGAACCUACACCAACUGUUAAAAUAAAAAUGUGGUUGGUAUAUUCAAAGUCCACGAUGCGUUUUUCUUUUUCUUUUUUUGCUUCCAAGUUCGGUUGUUGCAGUGUCAUUAUCUGAAGUUAUUUGUGAACUGUGACCUAAACUCUUGAGGGAUUUGACGCUGCAAUUUACUACUGCCAUAAGGGAGUAGUAACGGAUCCGAUGAACCUUCUUGUACACAUGUACUCCUUCUGUAUGUAAAUGCUUAUAGUUGGGGAGAAAUGAGUAUUUUGGUACAACGGAAGUAUUUAGAAAUAAUUGACAGCUUCUUAAAUAAUAUAGAGCGGUCUAAGCAUACACAAAUGAGACAAAUUUGACCAAUUUUAUAGAAAGAUUUAUAAACAACUAAAAUAGCGAAUCAAAAACCGAAUGUGCGCUAUAUUAUGCGGUGGGGGGAGUUUGUGUUUCUACCACAUGGCAGACAUGGUUACGCAACCAAAAUUGAUAAAAAAAGAACAGUAUGCAUUUUUAUUUUUCCAAGUAAAGGAAAGGGUUUAAGUUAAGAAAGGUGUCCUCUCAUCCGCAAAGAAGAAAAUGAAAAAGAAGAAAGGUGUCCUCUAUUCUAAUUUUUUUGAAUUUCAGCGAGACCUACUUGCUUGGCAAGAAACAAAGGAAAGUGCACGGGAACGAUUACAUUCUCACAGAAUACCGAGAUUCUGUAUUGGUAGUGCUUACGCAUACCCGUUACGACAACAGUAGCGUGAGAUACACGAGGAGGUGCAUGCACCACAGCAAGCAACCGGUCGUCAUUAUAUCUACUUGUUUAACCAUCACUUGUUACAACCAGUAUAUCAGGGACUUGACGUGGGACUUGAGUAGGUGCAUUCAUAUUUCAACAUUCAAUGUUUGACUUUAAUUACUACUCCCUCUGUCUCAUAUUAUAACAGCGUUUUUAACACUGGUCUCAUAUUAUAAAAGCGUUUAUAACAUUAGUGUUAUAAGAGCGUUUUUAGCACCAGUGUUAAAAACGUUCUUAUAUUAUGAGACCAAGGGAGUUAGAAAACAUGCAGCUAAGUAAAGAUCAAAGGCAAAACACGAUAUUCACUUCCGACAUGCAUGACAUAGGAAGUUACCUAUGAAUUGGUAUUCUCGGUCGGAUGCUGACCAAAGCCGCCUUCUUUUAUAUACACCAUCCGUUUUCAAAUAAUUGAAUUUCAAAGGUGUUUUAGGUCAAAUACUUUUAAUUUUACCUGAGUAUAAAAACGCCCACAAAGACCUAGGGAAAAUUUACCGUGCAUCGUACUUCUUUUCAAGGGCUGUAGUAUCAAUUUUAAUUUAAUCCAAUGGUUAGUAAUAGGGAACUUUAAUUAAUCGCCAUCAGGUUUGAUAAGGUUAUUUUUGUCCUUUGAUGAAGGCUCAGUUCAACACUUCCGCCUCGCAUUCCUUUGCCCGCCCCGCUUUGCCGGACCCGUUGACGCUCCCUCGCCGCAUCGCCCUCGCUUUUGAUUGUUGGCCGCUCCGGCACCUUCGCUCUAUAGCCCGCAUUGAUCCCUUCCCUUCAUCCGCCAGAUAAGCACAUAGCCGAAGAUGUCCACCAUCUCCGUGCCAAGCUCCAGGUACAUGGGAAUGGGAAGCAGCUGCAACUUCGGUUCCUGCGGCCCCUCCGUGUCGGCCUCCGCCUCCUCCUCUGCCUUCAGUUCAAUGAAAAAUGUGCCAAUCAUUGCCCGUUCUUUCCAAAUGAACCCCCGGCUAGACUCUACAUAGGCGUUCGGAGUGGGCUCCAGGACGGCGAUUUUCUCCGCCAUUUUCGUCGGUUGGAUGACCUCGUACUCUGCCAUGGCGUCCGCCAUGCCAAAGCCUAGCAUGGCUCUCCUCGGGCAGUUGGGUGCACCGCUCCCCCGUGGACAUAGUAUAGGUUUCCUUUUUCUGCCCCUCCAUGAAGGAGACGGACGUUGAGAGGGAGAGCGGAAGCGAAUGUGAACGAUAGGAAGUGGACGGACGGGAUCGGACCUGGUGGCUCGGAGAGGAAGGGGACGGAUCGAUGUGGACAGGGUUCGGGACGUCGUCCGGCUUAAAUAGCCGGGCCUUGGCCCUCGGGCAACGAGCUGGAGAAGCACCACAUGGUGGUCAUAGCUGGGAGUUAUCACCCAUGUGCGCUUGGAAGGGCUUCUUGUUUCCACCAUCUUGACACUGGUUCACUGUCCUCGGUGUUGUUGUUGUCCCUUUUGCGGCGCUUGUUCCUCCGGUUGCACCAUCGGAUGUGACUGGGUCGUUGCUUCGCCCUUUCUUGGUGACCCAAUUGUCCUCACCGGCACAUAAUUUACUUUCCAGCACAGUGGNNNNNNNNNNNNNNNNNNNNNNNNNNNNNNNNNNNNNNNNNNNNNNNNNNNNNNNNNNNNNNNNNNNNNNNNNNNNNNNNNNNNNNNNNNNNNNNNNNNNGCACUAGACCAGAUGUUAGCCUGGCCAUAAGUAUGGCAGGCAGGUUCCAGAGUAAUCCAGGAGUGGAUCACUGGACAGCGGUCAAGAAUAUCCUGAAGUACCUGAAAAGGACUAAGGAGAUGUUUCUCGUGUAUGCAGGUGACGAAGAGCUCGCCGUAAAAGGUUACGUCGAUGCAAGCUUUGACACAGAUCCGGACGACUCUAAGUCGCAAACAGGAUACGUAUUUAUUCUUAAUGGGGGUGCAGUAAGCUGGUGCAGUUCCAAGCAAAGCGUCGUAGCAGAUUCUACAUGUNNNNNNNNNNCGGAGUACAUGGCUGCCUCGGAGGCGGCUAAGGAGGGUGUCUGGAUGAAGCAGUUCAUGACGGAUCUUGGAGUGGUGCCAAGUGCACUGGAUCCAAUAACCUUGUUCUGUGAUAACACUGGUGCCAUUGCCUUAGCAAAGGAACCAAGGUUUCACAAGAAGACCAGACACAUCAAACGAUGCUUCAACCUCAUCCGCUACUACGUCGAGGAGGAGGACGUAAAUAUAUGCAAGGUGCACACGGAUCUGAAUGUAGCAGACCCGCUGACUAAACCUCUUCCACGACCAAAACAUGAUCGACACCAGAACUGUAUGGGUGUUAGAUUUAUUACAAUAUAAUUCACAUGGUGAUGUGAGGGCUAGAUUAUUGACUCUAGUGCAAGUGGGAGACUGUUGGAAUUAUGCCCUAGAGGCAAUAAUAAAUAUAGUUAUUAUUAUAAUUCCUGUAUCAAGAUAAUCGUUUAUUAUCCAUGCUAUAAUUGUAUUGAAUGAAGACUCAUUUACAUGUGUGGAUACAUAGACAAAACACCGUCCCUAGCAAGCCUCUAGUUGGCUAGCUAGUUGAUCAAAGAUAGUGAGUGUCUUCUGAUUAUGAACAAGGUGUUGUUACUUGAUAACUGGAUCACGUCAUUAGGAGAAUCGCGUGAUGGACUAGACCCAAACUAAUAGACGUAGCAUGUUGAUCGUGUCAUUUUGUUGCUACUGUUUUCUGCGUUUCAAGUAUUUAUUCCUAUGACCAUGAGAUCAUAUAACUCACUGACACCGGAGGAAUGCUUUAUGUGUAUCAAACGUCGCAACGUAACUGGGUGACUAUAAAGAUGCUCUACAGGUAUCUCCGAAGGUGUUAGUUGAGUUAGUAUGGAUCGAGACUGGGAUUUGUCACUCCGUGUGACGGAGAGGUAUCUCGGGACCCACUCGGUAAUACAACAUCACACACAAGCCUUNNNNNNNNNNGUGUGUAUCAAACGUCGCAACGUAACUGGAUGACUAUAAAGAUGCUCUACCGGUAUCUCCAAAGGUGUUAAUUGAGUUAGUAUGGAUCAAGACUGGGAUUUGUCACUCCGUAUGACGGAGAGGUAUCUCGGGGCCCACUCGGUAAUACAACAUCACACACAAGCCUUGCAAGCAAUGUAACUUAGUGUAAGUUGCGGGAUCUUGUAUUACGAAAUGAGUAAAGAGACUUGCCGGUAAACGAGAUUGAAAUAGGUAUACGGAUACUGACGAUCGAAUCUCGGGCAAGUAACAUACCGAAGGACAAAGGGAAUGACAUACGGNNNNNNNNNNNNNNNNNNNNNNNNNNNNNNNNNNNNNNNNNNNNNNNNNNNNNNNNNNNNNNNNNNNNNNNNNNNNNNNNNNNNNNNNNNNNNNNNNNNNAGUACAACUGGUUCGAAUCUUACUAGUGAAGACAAUAAACUUAAAAUGUGGACAGAUUGUUCACAACUCAUUUAGUUAUGUCUCUGACAAGAGCAAUAUUGUUAUGACCGACACUACUUAUAGCCGGAGGAGGCCUAAUUGGCCCGUUUAGUUAGGGGCUUAGCCCAAGUUAUCUUAUUUUUAUUAGUAGUACUAGCAAAAGCGUCCGUGCGUUGCAACGGGAGAAAAAAAACUCACCAUCUUCAAUAACGAUGACCACAUUAUGUUCAUAUCUCAUCGCAUAAUUUCAAAAAUUUGUUCACAAAUGCAAGAAAAUAUUUCUUCUUUUAAUUUUAUUCACAAUUCAAAAGUUGAAAAAUGUUCAUAUAUUUUUUUUUAAAAUCAUGGUUGUCAAAAAACUUGGUAACUCAAAGAAUUAUUCUGAAUUUCAAUUUUUUUAAAUAUACUAUAAUAUUUCGAUUCACCCCGACAACUAAUUCUUCAAAAUUUACUCAGGUAUAUAAUCAAAAAGACUCAGAAGCAUUACCAUUUAACUGCAUACAUUCAAUCAUUCGUGAACAUUUUUAAAAUCGAGAUUUUUUUACUAUGUAUAAACAUUUCUUUAAAAUUCCAAACAAUAUUUUAAAUUACGAACUGUUUUCAAGUAUUUUCUUGUGAAUUGGCGAAUAAUUUAUUUAUUAAAAAUUAGCCAGCUUUUAUGUUGACCAGUGGGCAGUUCUACAACCAUUUGAAUUAAAACUAAAACUGAGCCAUCCACAUAGUUUUAGAACACAGAUGAAAACACACUCUUAAUUUCACAGAACGUUUUUUUGCAUAAACACCAAAAAUAAGAAUAACAGGAGGAUCACUCCCGGCUCCAUUUUCAUCACGAAGCCCAUGACCAUAGGCACCAACAGCAUCUCUUGAGAAGCAGUACUGAAAAUAUUACAAAACAGAAUCAUGGAUUCAUGAUGCAUCAAAGGCAAACAUCAGAGAUAGUAAAUCUUAUAGGAUCUGAACAGCAGCACCUCUUUAGAUGGAGACAGUUGGACGCUUCCCCCCUUGGUGGUAAAGAAGGCCAGAGGUAGCUGUCCAAGAUUGAUAUAUUGGUGCAGAGGAGCUAUGCUAAAUUUGUGGACAGGCGGUAACACGAAAUAGAAACAGAACGAAUGGGGCUGGAAUCCCCUACCUAUUUCAAUCUCUGCACACUGCACGGUAUGAAGAUCCAAACGAAAAUUACAGGAAUUAACUUUCUUUGCUGAGAAAUAUUAAAAUGCCAUAAGAAGCUGGUGGUGACCAGGUUCAGAUGGAGAGAACCAAGAAUCCCAUUGCAUUCAUAUUCAACCAAGAAGUGACCUUAAUGAUGAUAUGGUUUGCAGUAGAGAAUACAGAAUUCACACUUUGAGAGCAAAAAUUAGUGACUCAAAUACUGCAUCGUUGAAGCUCUUCAGAAAAUUGGUGAGCAGAUGAACCCACCGUUCUUGCCCCUUCUCCUCAUUUGUUGCUGGAUGCUAUAAGAAGAACACCACCUUGGCUGAAAUCUGCAUCAGGUCAAUUGCCAUGAAACUAUCUCCAUCGGGUCAAUUGUCCACAAAACAUCCAAGGUCGCCACCGAGUUCGCGGAAAAAGAAGCUCCGACUUCGUCGGAGGUAGAAGAUCAUCCGUUGAGCACUCCAAUGUCGCCUGCUGCGGCUACACGAGAGGUAUGUAUCACACCGACCACUGUAUUUUACACAAUGUUUCCUUGUUGAGUGUGAACGAAGAACAACACCAGGGCUGAUAUGCCUCCUGCAGCCAGUGAUUUCUGGCUUCAGUUCUUCAUGUAACUCAUUACUCCACCAGCUGCAAAAGGUAGUAGCACAAUGAUCAGUUGUUGGUAAAUGUUGCAACUUCCCGAGAUAAGUCAAUACUUUCAGCAUGCUUUCAGUUAUAACACUGUAAAAGGUUGCGGAACCUCAUAGUUCUAUAAGAUGGUUGAUGGAGCUAAAAUAAUGUCAGUGGUAUUUAGGGGGGCAGUAAUUGAGCUUGUAUUACUUACCUUUAUCCUACGGGGCUUCUUCUCUCUUAAGUAAUCCGGCUCAAUCAUGUUGGAAGUCUGCCCCAUCUUAGAGAAAAAGGGGUCUGAAUAUCGUUUCAAGGAGGCCCCAGCACCAGCAACAUCGAACCUGCAGAAUAAUCCUUGUGUGUAAUUACUGAUAACACAUCCAUGGUAUAUAUCCACACACAAAAAUAGAAAGCAUCCACAUAUAGUGUAGUUUUUAAGGAGGUAUGAGUUUUUGACACUCCCAUUUCUGCAAAUACCAUCUUAGCAUACUGCUUCAUCUUUCCUUGCUAGAGCUCAUUAUCCCUAAUCUCCCAGGUAACAUUGGAGGCGCCUGCAACUGAACUCUUGUUGAGCUCUCCUCUGACCAUAGGAAGCUGGUGACAUCUGAUUAUGUGUACUAAGUUGUGCUGCGGUAGACAUGCAUCAGUGGCUGAUCUUAUCCAAACUGAUACAGUACAAGCUAAUUGUGUUUGCUAUCGGCACUACACAGACCGGCAGGACAACCAACAUACGCACUCUGACGAACUGAAUGCAUUCAGAUCCUCUAUCCGCGCAAGGGGCGAGGGCGGCGAGGCUCCGGUGGCAGGUUGAUGGCGGAGAUGGUCUCCCCCGGACCGGAUCGGGGCGGCGGCGACGGAGAUCGAGGCAGAGGGCGGCGCGGUACAGGCGGCGCUUGGGGCCGGCGAGUGGAGUUGGCUGCAGGCCGGUGGCCGACGCGGGGUGGCUCGACUACGGAUGGUGGUUCCCCGGCGAGAUGCAUGCGAGGGACCGGCGGCGUGCUGCGAGGUCUCGAGCAUGGAGCGGCUCGUCGCCAUGAAGGAGCUCGGGAGGAUUGCGGGUUGAUUAUCAAAAACUAUGAGGACUUUUUUGCAAAAUGGCAGAAAACGAUUCGUUGUUACUUAAAACUGGACUGCGGGUUGAUUACCUAAAACUGCAAGGGCUUUUCUGCAAAACGACCGACGACGGACGACAGAAGCGCUGCGCGCUUUAUUAUUAGGAGAGAAAGUUAUAUAAACAGUUGUAAGACACCCUUUUGGAAUUAAGCAAUAAGACAUACUCCCUCCGUUCGGAAAUACUUGUCAUAGGAAUGGAUGUAUCUAGAUGUAUUUUAGUUCCAAAUACAUCCAUUUUUAUACAUUUGUGCGACAAGUAAUUCUGGACGGAGGGAGUAUUCUAUUGCUCGGCUUUCGGAGGAGCCGGAAUCCCUAACCCUAGUCGCCGCGUCUUCCAUCGCCGUUGCCUCUCCACCACGCGAGACGGCGCCCUCGCCCUUGCCAGCUUCCCUCCUACCCCUACAGCCUCCGGCCAAAACCCGGUAGGAUCCUAGCUCCUACCAGUUUGGUAUCAGGAAGCUUCGGUUCGAUCAUGUCUUCGCCGUCGCGCUCCACAUCCCUUCUGCUGCCGACCUCCACCACCGCCCCGCUCGCCACCACCUCCGCCGCCGCACCGCUUCCCGCUGUCCUCACCCCGGAGGAGCUUACAGGAGCGAUCCACUGUCGUGCAGGGGAUCCGACUCUACCUAGCCGGUCCCUACGGGCCACCGCGCCACCACCCACCGCCAACGGGCUGCUGCUGCUUUCGUGGCAGCCGCCGCACUCGCUGGGCCGUUGGAGCCGGCGCUUCAGCUUUCGCGGCCACCAGCCACCUCCUCCGGGCCGGGCCCCACCUCGACGCCGGGGGUCCCUCUUCAUCAACUCCACUUCCCGCCCUUGCCGUCGCCGCUAUCGUCCUGGGUAACCGGGACGCAGUCGGUCUACACGACGGCCUCGGCGCCGCCGUACAUCCAGUCGCCAUCGGCGCCACCCCCUAGUAAGGUGGACCCUCCAGCUUCGCUGAUCCUCAAACUGGCCCCGACGGGUACCCGGGGACGACCCCGCACUUCUCCGCGCCGACGAGCCCUACCAUCACGGCGCCCAUACCCAUACGCCACCGCGGUUCGCCAAAUUGGACUUUGCCACCUACGACGACACCGAGGACCCCCUGAACUGGCUCAACCAAUGUGACCAGUUCUUCCGAGGGCAACGGACGCUCGCUUUGGAACACACCUGUACUGAAUUCUUCUACCAGAUCGACAUCCUCCACAGAUUCUACUGUCACCUGGAAGAUUGUGCUGGUCUCUUGGUUCUACUUAAAUUGUUUAGCUAACUAGUAGUUCUACUGUAUAAUAUGACCAUCUAUUAUACACGAGACCAAACAGUUGAGCACAUGCCUUGUUGUUUCAGACCUUUGUUUGUUGGUUUCUAGUGGCCUCUAAGCGCAAAAUCACAUUUCAGGCUACGCAGUAGUGAUAAUUAUACCAUACCAGUAUGAUGCUACAUAGAUUAUUGAGUUAUUACUUUGGUUGAUUACAUCUAAUUCUUCAUAUAUAAUAUCAUCUAUUAUGGCCCACUUAGUAGUGAAAUUUACAGUUGGGUAAGACCAAGUGCAGUGUAUUAUGACUCAGUGUCUACUUUCUGUGUUACUAGGCUACUUCAUUCAUCUUAAUUAAGUUUUUUUGUUGUUUUGCUUUUUCAUGAAUCAUUAGGCUCUGCUUCAGCAGGCAAACAAGUUAGGCAUAUUGGACUUAUUUAUGGUAUCUAGCAUCCUUAAUGAAUCACUAUGUGUUGAAGUAGCCUAGUGAAUGUAAGGGUCUAGGUUUAACCCAUAACUUCUCUAAACAGUGUGCUGUAUUGUGUUAUCUAUACUGCUUUUGCUUUAGUUCUACAACUCUGCAAAGCACUACAUUCACCGGAUACAAAAUUCCAAUUUGUUUCGACUAUGAAAAACUUGUUUUGAUUAUAUUUUCUAUUUGGCCACGUGCAAUUUCUUAAAGGGCCAAAUGGCUAGUGAGGAAGAAAGGUUGCAUAUGGCUAGUGAGGAUACGGCUAGUGAGGAGGAACCAGAUAGGGCUAAUGAGGCUGCGGAUGAAGCGCCAAAAAGGGUUACGGAGGCCAAAGGACCGGAAACCCGGUGGAAUCCCGGUGUUGCAACACAAUUAAUUUCGAAGUUUCCAACCAAAAUGUUGAAAAUGCUUGAGCAGUUAAAGCUUAGUAAGAUGGCGGACAUGAAGGUAACAUUCCUUCAAUACAGAAAAACCUGUGGAGAUAUUUUGGACAGAUGUGUUGUUCAUCAAGACUCAAAUCAAACUGAACUUAAAAUAAGGAUGAUAAAUCAGCGUGGUUCAAUCCAAAAGUUGUUCAACAUAUUCUUGAGCUGACGCAAGACACUGAUAAGGAGUUAAAAGCUAUGUAGUUAGGCUCGUAGUUGCAAAGUACCCAAAAAAGACAAAGAAAAAGGCAAACACAAAUGUAAAAGAGGAGACAUCAGGCCACUGCCAGAGGAGAAGAAUAAUGGCAGAGCGAUCAUGAUGUCGGAGAACAUUGGUUUGUUGUUUGCACACUCUGAUGAGGAAGAUAUCAGAUCACAUGCUGAAAUAGAUAUGCUCGUCAGGCUUUACUUUGUGGCAGUGCAUGAUAGAAUGUUACUGCCAGAUACAGCAUCUUAUGUAACCAAAAGCGCAGUUGAAAAUAUAUAUCAUCUAGAAAAACUUUGUGAGCUUGACUGGGUACAUAUGGUCUUCAAUGCCUUGAAAAAAGCUUAUCUGACGAAGGACAAAGCUUAUAUGAGGUGAUGUGUGGAUGUCCUUUUGGUAAGUAGUACUAGCUACUGCAAGUAAUAAUUGUUCUCAUUUUGUGUCUAAAUUUAGAGUUAUUGGUUCACAAAUAGUUUUUUGCGGACUGCAUUGUGGAGAAUCCUGUGAGAAGGGAAUUAUCAGGGAGAAUCAAACACUAUACUGAUGACAUCCUCAGGAAACUUCUCGAAUAUCAGGAUAGGAAAAGUAAGUCUGGGGGUAAGAAAUUGUAGCAACUUCUUAUAAUUAUCGAAUAUCUUGAUGCAACUUAUAUUUCUCAAUGUCAUUUUGAGGAGAAGAACUUGAAGUCGCUAGAGGUAAUUAAUGUAAGUACAAACAAGUUUACAAAUUAUCUGUUACCAUUUUUAAUUAUUUAUUUAUGUUAUUUUCAGUUUAUUAGGUGGGAGGAUAGCACGUAGAGCGAACUGUAGAGGUGUUUGAGAAUGACAUGGUACAUAGUGCUUACGAAAAGCGUGUUUUAAAAAGAAGGCACGAUGGAAUUGUAGUAGAGUAUGUACCCGAGAAGAUAGUUGAGUCCGAGUUUAUAGACUGCUUCAAACUAGAAGGUCGUAGAGAUACUGCAUUUAAUAUGCGACUUGUGGUCAGAACAAUGGCGUGAUACAAUUGUCCUUCAGUAUUCUUCUGAUACAAUUGUGGACGCCGAGCCUGAUCUACGUUUUUGGAUAAGUACUUACAAUAAAAGAAUACUUAAGGAUAAUUGUAUCACGCCAUUUUUCUCACCACAAGUCGCAUAGUAGAUGCAGUAUUUGUGAGGUCAUACGACCUUCUGGUUUGAAGCAGUCCACAAACUCAGACUCAAUUAUCUUCUUGGGUCCAUACUCCAAUACAAUUCCGUCGCUCCUUCUUUUCAAAACACGCUCCUCGUAAGCACUAUCUACCAUGUCAUCCUCAGAUACCUUUACAGUUUCGCUGUAGGUGCUAUCCUCCCACCUAAUAAACUGAAAAGAACAGAAAGAAAUAAUUAAAAAAUGGUAACAGAUAAUUUGUAAACUUGUUUGAACUUACAUUAAUUAUCUCUAGCGGCUUCAAGUUUUCUCCUCAAAAUGACAUCGAGAAAUAUAAAAAGUUGCAUCAAGAUAUUCGAGAAAUAUAAUAAGUUGCUAUAGUUUCUUACCCCCAGACUUCCUUUUCCUAUCCUGAUAUUCGAGAAUCUUACUCAGGAUGUCAUCAGUAUGGAGUUUGAUUCUCCCUGAUAAUUUCCUUCUCACAUGAUUCUCCACAAUGUAAUCCGCAAAAAGUAUUUGCAAAUCAAUAACUUUAAAUUUAGACACAAAAUGAGAACAGUUAUUAUUUGCAGCAGCUAGUAGUACUUAUCAAAAGGACUGCCAUAGAACACCUCGUAUAAGCUUUGUCCUUCGCUAGAGAAUCUCUGUAUCAAAAGGACUGCCAUAGAACAUCUCUGUUUUAGCAUGUGAUAUGAUAUCUUCCUCAUCACAGUGUGCAAACAACAAACCAAUGUUCUCCGGCGUCAUGAUCGCUCUGGCAUUAUUCUUCUCCUCUGGCAGUCGCCUUUUUCUCUAUCUUUUUCUGGGUACUUUGCAACUACGAGUGUAAGUGCAUAGACCAUCUUGUCGUGUUCUUAUGUUACAUCAUGUGCAGCUUUGAACUCCUUAUCAGUGCCUUGCGGCAGGUCAAGAACAUGAUGAACAACUUUUGAAUUGAACCACGUUGAUUUAUCAUCCUUGAUUUUAAGUUCAAUUUGAUUCGAGUCUUGAUGAACAACACAUCUGUCCAAAAGCUCUCCACAGGUUUGUGUAUAGUGAAAGGAUCUUAGCUUCAUGUCCGCCAUCUUAUUGAGCUUUAACUGCUGAAACAUUUUCAACAUUCUAGUUGUAAACUUCGAAAUUAAUUGUGUUGAAACGCUCGGGUUGCACUGGGUUUCCGGCCCUAGGGCCUCCGUAACCCUUUUUGGCGCUUCAUCCGCAGCCUCACUAGCCCUACCUGGUUCUUCCUCACUAGCCAUAUGCAGCCUUUCUUCCUCACUAGCCAUUUGGAGAAUUUAUGGGUUAAACAUCGAGCCUUACAUUUACUAGGCUACUUCACCACAUAGAGAUACAUUAAGGAUGAUACAUACCAUAAAUAAGUCCAGCAUGCCUAACUUGUUUGACUACUGAAGCAGAGCCUAAUGAUUCAUGAAAAAUGAAAACAACAAAAGAAACCUAAUUAAGAUGAAUGAAGUAGUCUAGUAUCACAGAAAGUAGGCAUUGAGUCAUAAUAAACUGCACUUGGUCUUACGCAAGUGUAAAUUUCACUAUUAAGUGAGCCAUAAUACACGAUAUUAUAUAUGAAGAAAUUAGAUGUAACCAACCAAAGUAAUAACUCACUAGUUUAUGUAGCAUCAUUCUGGUAUGAUAUACUUAUCACUACUGCGUAGCAUGAAAUGUGAUUUUGCGCUUAGAGGCCACUAGAAGCCAACAUACAUAGGUCUGAAACAACAAGGCAUGUGCACAACUGUUUGGUCUCGUGUAUAAUAGAUGGUCAUAUUGUACAAUGGAACUACUAGUUACCUAAACAAUUUAAGUUAACCAUGUUAAGUAGAACCAAGAGACCAGCACAAUCUUCAUGUCACCAAAAUUUAAAGCAGAACAUCAUACAUAUGCUACAUAACAACAACAACGACCGCUUUCAAAGACUUCAACCGAUGCAAAAGGAUCACCAUUACAAAAACUCGGCUUAAUGGUUCCAUCACAAGGUAAAUAUGUCAUAGUACUUGUUCUAUGAAUGCGAGAGUGAAAUAAAGUAGGAAAAUUUCAUCGGGUUGAAAUUCAGACUUAAGCAUUGUGUCUCUUAGAAAACUAAAAAAAAGAGUAGUGUUGGCUAGUAAGAACAUUAAGCAAAUUUACAUAGAGUUCCGCGUGAAGGAAUCAUGGAAAUACAAAAGCUCAAGAAGCCAACAAUGUAAAACAAGGCAUGAAAUAACAAAGAUUGUGCAAGAUAAAAAUUUGAGUACCUAACGAAGACUGUGCAACAUGAAAGUUGGAGUGCCUGAUGGUCUACUCUAGUCUCUAAAACCGCGCUAAAUUAUGUCUGUAAAGAAGUUAUCCGAGUGAAUGUAAGGCUUGAGGUUUAAGCCAUAGUGAUUGAUUAAGAAUGCUACAUAUUGUGGAUAGGUCCAGCAUGCCUAACGGAAAGUUGGACGACGCCAUGCUUAUCUGAACAGUGCUAUCACCUUCCCACCGUUCCUCCACAUCCGAGGGGCCUACUGUCUAUAUGUUAAACCCAAACCCAAUGAGCACCUGCCAACGAGGAUCUGUUCCACGCAGAAUUUGGUACGAUUGCUCAAUUAUUCACAAACCAACAAAGUACAUGUAGUUUGGGUAGUUCCUUCAGUUUAAGAAGUUCCUUUGGUUUGAGAAUUCAUCGAUUGGUGAGGUGAGAUUGAUAGAUUUGUUAAAUCAAUGAAUCUGUUCAAUUGGUAUACAUAUUGGUGUUGAACCACACACACUUCCAGGACCAGGAGCAGCAAGAAUUUUUCAAAAAGGAUGACACCAUGNNNNNNNNNNNNNNNNNNNNNNNNNNNNNNNNNNNNNNNNNNNNNNNNNNNNNNNNNNNNNNNNNNNNNNNNNNNNNNNNNNNNNNNNNNNNNNNNNNNNAUCCACAAACCAAGCGUCUACGGAUUUCACGCGACGUCGUGUUUGAAGAAAACCAAGCGUGGAAUCGGAGCGCCGCAGCCGACGAUGCUCCAAACAGUAACAUAUUCACGAUUGAAUUUCCAACUGAUGAUGAUGCAGGGGAGGAUGUCCAGGUGGUUGGCAAGACGCCCAACCAAGGUGACCACAAUGGUAGUGAUCAUCAUGGUGCCGACACCGACGACGACGCGCAUAGGUCGCAAGGAGAUAGCGACAACGCCGCGCAUGACACAGGCGGAGAUCUCGACGACAACAUCGACAACGAGGCGCAUAGUGACGACGACAAUCAAGAUGAUGGUCACGGUCACGACGACUACGCCGAUGACGCGGAUGUCGAUGACACGCCCGAGACUCAGCCAUCUUCCUCAAGUGCAUCAACAUCGACACAAUUUGUGUCACCUCCUUCGCAAGCCACAACGGAUUCCUCAGNACCCUCAAGAAAGUCUACAAGUACACAAAGUCAGUUACGCUCGAAUACUCCGGACUAUGUGUUUUCGGAGUUGAGGAGCCGGCGAACUUCGUAGAGGCGAGCAAAAGUCCUAGCUGGACGCACGCCAUGGAUGAGGAGAUGAAGGCAAUUGAGAGCAAUGACAUGUGGACCUUGGUAACCCGUCCUCCAAACCAAAAGGCGAUAGGUUUGAAGUGGGUUUACAAGUUAAAGAAGGACACACAAGGUGCCAUUGUGAAGUACAAGGCAAGACUCGUUGCAAAGGGCUACGUACAACGUCAAGGAGUUGACUAUAAUGAGGUGUUUGCACCGGUUGCUCGACUCGAGACGGUGAGAGUGCUCCUAGCUUUGGCAGCACAAGAGGAUUGGAAGGUUCAUCAUAUGGAUGUUAAAUCCGCUUUCCUCAACGGUGAUCUCACAAAGGAAGUGUACGUGGAACAACCCCUCGGCUACGAGAAGAAAGACGAACAAGUGAAAGUUUACAAGCUCAAGAAGGCACUUUACGGACUGAAGCAAGCGCCAAUUGCUUGGAAUUUAAAGUUAGACCAAAGUAUGGCCAUGCUCGGGUUCAAAAGAUGUGCCCUUGAUGGUUCAAAAGUUAGUCUACUAAGCACCGACGAACAUGUGAAGGUUGAAGACACGACCAACGAGAAUUGUUGCUGUCAAGCUACGAAUGAGUCGACGACAGCAAAGUCGGUGAAUGGUACGCUACAAGGAACGAUGAAGGCAACGCCAAGGAGGAAGCAUGCGAGUAGUCGCAUUUGGGAUCCAGGUCGCAUCGAGGAUGUCAUGUUUAGGGGGUGAAUGUUAGAAGUAAACCUGACGUCCGCUUAUGAGUGUCCGAGAAGUACACAUAUAUGUUGCCGAGUCGGUUUGCAGUAGGCCUAGCUUAGCAAUAUAUAUACGUAUACCCCUGUGUAGUCUUUGUACCAGAAAUCAGAAAAGUAAUACAAAGCAAAAGCAAGGCUCGACACGAGCCUAUUUGCAAUCCAUUGAUUCGGUGCCUUCGUUCUCGCCUUGUUCUCGUCGGAUAGUUCGACCAGUCAAGAGCUCGUAUAGUAUACGUGCACGUCCAGCAGGAAUUGCUCUCAUACGUCCGUCGGCUAGCUAGCCUAAGGAAUCCAUCCACCAGAGAGCUAGCUUGCUUGGUACGUGUGACCUGCAGAACCAGUACGAUACGUGUGUAUACAUCCUUGACGGAAAGUACUCGUACGAGGUGCGUCAUACGGACCAAAGCCAACAAUGCUAUCUUGCAGGCGGUUCUUGAAGAGGUGGAGCAGCCAGGGAGUCUGUAUCUUGCUGAGCCCGCAGCUUGUUCUCUGAGAGGUCGAUCUCCAUGGCACUAUGCAGGCUCCCGGGCUCCUUCGGGAUGGUGUCAUCCAGCUGGUUCCGGUAAAUGCAGAGCUUUACGAGCAUGGGAAGCGCCCUGAGCUCGAAUCACAUUUCUCUUGGCGUCGUGCUCAUUGUCAUACUGAAGCUGAAUCACCUUUCUUCUGGUGUUUUGUUCUUUUUCAUAAUGAACCUGAAACACAUUUCUUGUGUUGAUGUGUUCUUUUUCAUACUGACCCUGAAUCACAUUUCUUUUGUUGAUGUGUUCUUUAUCAUACAGAACCUGAAUCAAAUUUCUCUUGUUCAGUCUUUGCUAAAGACCGAACUAGUAAAUCUUGUCAUUACAAAUGUUUAUUCAGAAAUCUUCAUUUUUUCUCAUGAAAUGCUCAGUUUUUUGCUCUCUAAAUUGUGUCUUUAUUUCCUUUGCUCCUCUCUAGAAUUACUAAAUGUUCAGAAUUGUACUGUAUUGGCAUGUCAUAACAAAGCUCGAUUCUUCCAUAUGCCAGUCUUAUGUGUAACAUUUUACACUGAGUUUUUAGCAAACUUGUGUGGUGUUAAAAUUGAAGAUUGUCAAGGCAAACUUGUGUUGUGUUAAACUUGACUAAAUCAUGCACACAUAAAACUGAAGAGAGUGGAUUUUUAGCUCCCGGAUGCCUAGGCACCCUCUAUGAACAGUAAAAUAAAAAAAAUCAAAAUCAAAAUCAAAAAUUUUUGAAACUUUGCAGCAUCAAUGAUGAUGAAACUUUGUAGGUGUUUGCAAAUUUUUAUGCCAAAAAACUAUUCGUGGAGCUCUACACACGAUGUAUUCGUGGAGCUCUACACACGAUGAAAUUCAUAUGUUGAGGUUGACGAUUUAGUUCAGUAACAGUUGAGUGAAUUUCAGUUACGUAAAAGAUGUCAUUAAGUUUAGUCAUGUUGUAUUCCACCCCAUUUUUACUGUCAAAACUGCAUUGCUGGUACUGCCAAAAAGGUUCAGCCUCAAUGCUGCAUUGCUGAAAACAGUAAAUUUUAACAGUUUGGAGUACAGAUUAACUCAAACCUGAAUUUUUAACUGAAUUUUACUCUUUUCUUCUUCCUGAGGAGCAGCAACACUGUCACGUGCAUGGGCAGUGCUCCACCGCGACAGGGGAGCUGCUACUGGAGCUCCGCUGAUGAUCAAAACGAUCACAGCAAGGGAGCUACGGAUUAAUUUCCCUUUAUAUCAGUUGUAGGUGAGAGGCAGAGUACCAGAGGCCUCGCAGAUCGGGGGAGCCGAUUGGAGGGUGUCGGCGUCGCCCACGAGCAGCAGCGUCGGCAGCAGAGGCGUCGCCCACCACAACCACCCGGCGGCUGAAGUAGACUAGCACGGUGACCAGCCCGACGGCCGUGAGCAGCGGAGUCAGGGGCGAAGCGGACCAGCGGGGCGGCGGUGGGUGGCGGAGGAUCCGUUUGUCGAUGGGCGGCGGAGGCCCUGUUCGCGGGUGGACUCGUCCACGGCACAUGACCUUCUCUUGGAGACGGUUGGUUGCAGAGGCUGGCCGUGGCAACGCGGGCGACGGGAGGAGGCGAUGCGUANCUGGAGCUUUGCAAGUAGAAGGACUAGAAUGCAAAAAAAAAAUGUACUACGCUCGCGUCAUGAAUUACGGGACGAGUAAUGCUACACAUACGGGCGUUCUACGGAAGAUUUACAGGCUCGUUAAGAAUGAUUGGUUGGAAUUUACUUAAAAAGGACGGUCCCACCGGUGAAAUCAGGGGGAGAGCAGUUAGAUUAGGCCACGUCGUCUUCCCGUAAAAGCCUGUUAGAAGCUGUCCGUAUCUUUAGCAUUAUCGAUUACGAGACGGAGGGAGUACUGUAUAUUGUUACACCACUUACAAAUAGAUUUUCGGUGCCGAUUUUUUCUAACACCUGCACAUUUUAUUUGGAAUACGAUACUCGCUGCAGAUUUUAUUUGAACUAUACGUACGGAUGUGUGAAAAAUGGCUACUUCCGCAGCCUAAUUAAUGAACAGUAUCAUGCUCAUUGCCGUUUGCCCUGGCAAGCCCGCCGAAGAGGCACGGGCGGGUCGGAGAGCGCGCCGUCGACGAUCUGGUCGAAGACGAACCUGUUGGCCGCCUCGGUGAAGUGCACGCCGUCCCAGCUCACGCUCCUCGACGGGUCAUCACACGACUUUCCUGCCAGCACCGACGUCCCGUUCACCUGCACCUUAUCACCACACCGGAUGUUCCGGUCGAAGUUGUCCUCGCCGCCGCCGUACCCGCAGCACACGCGCAGGGGGUCCCCAAAACCGAGCUCCUUGGCCUGGCUUAUCAGCCUGUACUUGGCGGCGUACACGUCGACGUAGGUUAACGCUGCCCCUGGGAGCGUGUCCCUGAGCCUCGCCACGGUCUCCUUGAGCCGCGCGUUGAAGAACCGGGCGCCGGCGUUGAGCGCGACGGAGCAGCCGGCGGCGUCCUUGUCGGCGGCGAGGUCCGGGCGGAACACCAGGGCGUACGGCAGGCACCCGAGCGGCGCCGUGUUGUGCACCCAGAAGUGCCUCCCCCCGAGGUUGUAGACCGUCUGGAUCGCCGACGAGAUCCUCUCCAUGAGAUCGGGGACGUAGGCCUCGACUUGCUCCGUGGUCAUGUUGUCGAAGUAGCCCACGGUGAGGUCGUUCUGGCCCAUGUCCAAGGUGUAAAGCGCCUUGGAGAUCAACUGCUCCGGGUUGGGCAGGAUCUCCCGGUAGACUCCGCCGAUGUCGUUGUCGUAGACGAAGCGGCUCCUGUUGAUGAACUGCUGGAGCUGCCAGACCUGCACGUCCAGGGAAAUGGGGCUGUACCCUGAGGUCCACAAGCUCCCGUUCACUCGCCUGAUGGUUCCGGCGGCGCUCGCGAAAUUGGCUCCCUGCGUGAAGUUGCUCCCCAGAGAAUCCAGAUACGCACUCAGGUAACGGAGGCCCAGGCUUUGAGCUGCAAGCAAUACGUACACGUCGUAAAAAUUCUCCCGUUUUGAGCUGUUUGCGCGGGAAAAGGGUAAAAAAAAAACUGCUUCGGUUAACAUGCCGUAGACAAACGUACUCACGUACAUACCCAUGAAGUCGAUGGUGAGGCGGCCGUCGCUUUGCCGGCCGGCCGGCAUGCCGAAGAAGGUCCGGCCGUAGGGCGGCUGCACCGCCGGGAAGAGGGCAGGGAAUGCACCGGUGUCCGAGUUGGAGUCACCGAGGUUGAAGAUGGCCGGGAAGCCGCACGGGGAAUCAUCAGAGCGCGCUCCCGCAGAGAGCUUUAGCACCACCACCGCCAGCAACAGGACACACACGAGUUUGGUCGCCAUGGAUGGAUGAGCCGAUCGACGCCGUUUAGCUCCUGCCGCUCGUCCGGUGCGAAAAUGAUUUUAUGCCCUGCCGCGAGUGCAGCACCCGUGUUGGACCGACUGCUGCUCCGACGCGGCAGCGAUUUUCUAGCCACCAGAAUACUAAUUACCACAUGCAUUAUUCAUGGACUGGUCAAGGUUUAUUAUUAUUUGUUUAUCUUUUGUGAAGUCAGGAUUCAUACACGCCGGCACCGGCAGGUCCAGCACCCCGUCUUGGACUGGUGCUCCGACGUGAUCCUAAUCAAAGAUGUGCAGAAGAUUCAGCGAGGGAUAGCUGCGUUUUGUUGACAAGUAUCCCCUCCUCUCGUUUGUGCACCACCCGAGUUAUAUCAAGAGAGUGACGGGACUGUCACCCUUUACGUGGCAGGUUUGGACAAGCAACUAAGCGUGCUUGACCCUGAUUACUCUCUUAAAAUAAAUGUCUCAAUUUUAUACUAGAUUUAGUACAAAUUUAUAUUAAAUUUGAGACAGUUAUUUUAAAACAAAGGGAGUAUUUGACGUUUCUGUGGUGAUGUAGCCAAGACCGUUAUUACUUGUCAACCUAAAGCUUCAAGAACACAUGACCCGGGAAUGGGAGUACGGGACCUCCGGCAACGACCACGGUUCCUUACCCCCGAGGGCAUCCCGAUCACCAUUCUGCGCGUGGCGCAACGACUCUGCCACUCCAGUAAACACAUAUAUUUUUUUUAAAUAUGACAAUUAAAAAAAUAAAUAUCAGCACGUGUUCAAAAUAAAUAAAUAUCAGCAGCGAAUAUCUAUAUGUAAGGUGUGUAACCUGAAUUUUUGAUUGAUUUCAUCAAUAAAGUAGCUACAUACAUCGCAUUGAUGAAACGACGGGAGGGAAUCAUCCCUCCUUUUCUAAAAUAGGAAAAUACUAUUUAAGAAGAAUAGAAAUUGGACGAAUACUUAUUUGGAGUAUGAAUACUGUAGAUUUUUAUACAUACAUUUCAAGUAUGGAUGUCUAAAAAAAAUAUUCCAACAUCCGCAUCUUAAUGAAUGAACAUUAAGCUCAUCACCAUUUACCCCGGCAGGCCUGUCAUGGCGGACCGACGGGUCAGAGACCGCUCGUAAACAAUCUGAUUGAAGAUAAAUUUAAAUAUGGUACAUAUAUUUCUUGAUAAAUCGGUUACACUAAAACUCAUGGAAAUACGCAUGGGCUUGGAAAAGGGUUCCCCGAAUAUUGGAUUGCCGUUGUUAAACUAGGUUGUAUACUUUAUAAAAUCGAGGAAGUAUCUUAAACUGUAUGUAAAGCAGCUAUCUCCAUAGCUGUAAACCGUCAUGCUCAAUUGCACGCCAUCAUUCCAGCUCACAUCGUUAGAUUUGUUCUCGAAAGAGUUCUCGAGAUCUAAUGCACCGUUCACCUCCACCUUAACAUCGCAAUGGUCUAUUUAGAGCAGCUAGCUAUCUCCAUAGCUGUAAGCCAUUAUGGUCAACUGCACGCCAUCAUUCCAGCUUACACCGAUAGAUUUGUCCUCGAACGAGUUCUUGAGAACCGACGCACCGUUCACCUCCACCUUAACGUUGCAAUGGUCAUGUAUUCUACUUCACAAGUGAAUUGGGCAACUAGUGCUGUAAUAUUGCCUUCCAACUCACAACACAACCACCGAUAAUGUUGGGGAACGUCGCAUGGGAAACAAAAAAUUUCUACGCGCACGAAGACCUAUCAUGGUGAUGUCCAUCUACGAGAGGGGAUGUGUGAUCUACGUACCCUUGUAGACCGUACAGCAGAAGCGUUAGUGAACGCGGUUGAUGUAGUGGAACGUCCUCACGUCCCUCGAUCCGCCCCGUGAACCGUCCCGCGAUCAGUACCACGAUCUAGUGCCGAACGGACGGCACCUCCGCGUUCAGCACACGUACAGCUCGACGAUGAUCUCGGCCUUCUUGAUCCAGCAAGAGAGACGAAGAGGUAGAAGAGUUCUCCGGCAGCGUGACGGCGCUCCGGAGGUUGGUGAUGACCUUGUCUCAGCAGGGCUCCGCCCCGAGCUCCGCAGAAACGCAAUCUAGAGGAAGAACCGUGGAGGUAUGUGGUCGGGCUGCCGUGGAAAGUCGUCUCAAAUCAGCCCUAAAACCUCCGUAUAUAUAGGUGGGAGAGGGGGGACCUUGCCUUGGGGGUCGGCCGAGCCAAAGGGGGGAAGGACUCCCCCCAAACCAAGUCCUACUUGGUUUGGUGGGUGGAGUCCUUCUUUCCUUUCCCACCUCCUCCUUUUUUUCUCCUUUUCUCUUUGAUUUUUCUUCCAAUGCGCAUAGGGCCCUUUUGGGCUGUCCCACCAGCCCACUAAGGGCUGGUGCGCCACCCUCAAGGCCUAUGGGCUUCCCCGGGGUGGGUCCCCCCCCCCGAUGAACUCCCGGAACCCAUUCGUCAUUCCCGGUACAUUCCCGGUACGGUAAUCCCGUCUUAUCAAUCAUGUUGUUAGACAACAAUGAACCUGCAAGUUAUGAAGAAGCAAUGGUGGGCCCAGAUUCCAACAAAUGGCUAGAAGCCAUGAAAUCCGAGAUAGGAUCCAUGUAUGAGAACAAAGUGUGGACUUUGGAGAUACUACCUGAGGGCCGCAAGGCUAUUCAGAACAAAUGGAUCUUUAAGAAGAAGACGGACGCUGACGGUAAUGUGACCGUUUAUAAAGCUCGACUUGUGGCAAAGGGUUUUUCACAAGUUCCAGGAGUUGACUACGAUGAGACUUUCUCACCCGUAGCGAUGCUUAAGUCCGUCAGAAUCAUGUUAGCAAUGGCUGCAUUUUUCGAUUAUGAAAUCUGGCAGAUGGAUGUCAAAACGGCGUUCCUUAACGGUUUCCUUAAGGAAGAGAUGUAUAUGAUGCAACCCGAAGGUUUUGUCGAUCCUAAAAAUGCUGACAAGGUGUGCAAGCUCCAGCGAUCCAUUUAUGGACUGGUGCAAGCAUCUCGGAGUUGGAACAAACGCUUUGAUGAGGUGAUCAAAGCAUUUGGGUUUAUACAAGUGGUUGGAGAAUCUUGUAUUUACAAGAAAGUGAGUGGGAGCUCUGUGGCGUUUCUAAUAUUAUAUGUGGAUGGCAUAUUACUGAUUGGAAACAACGUAGAGCUUUUGGAAAGCAUAAAAGGUUACUUGAAUAAAAGUUUCUCUAUGAAGGACCUGGGAGAAGCUGCUUACAUUCUAGGCAUUAAGAUCUAUAGGGAUAGAUCAAAACGCCUGAUAGGACUUUCACAAAGCACAUACCUUGAUAAAGUUUUGAAGAGGUUCAAAAUGGAAUAGUCCAAGAAAGGGUUCUUGCCAGUUUUACAAGGUACGAGAUUGAGUAAGACUCAGUGCCCAGCAACUGAUGAAGAUAGAGAGCAUAUGCGCUCCGUCCCCUAUGCUUCAGCCAUAGGCUCUAUCAUGUAUGCGAUGCUGUGCACUAGACCAGAUGUUAGCCUGGCCAUAAGUAUGGCAGGCAGGUUCCAGAGUAAUCCAGGAGUGGAUCACUGGACAGCGGUCAAGAAUAUCCUGAAGUACCUGAAAAGGACUAAGGAGAUGUUUCUCGUGUAUGCAGGUGACGAAGAGCUCGCCGUAAAAGGUUACGUCGAUGCAAGCUUUGACACAGAUCCGGACGACUCUAAGUNNNNNNNNNNNNNNNNNNNNNNNNNNNNNNNNNNNNNNNNNNNNNNNNNNNNNNNNNNNNNNNNNNNNNNNNNNNNNNNNNNNNNNNNNNNNNNNNNNNNGGGGGGGGGGGAGUCCUCCCCCCUUGGCUCGGCCGACCCCUUGGGAGUCCCUUGGACCCCAAGGCAAGGUCCCCCUCCCUCCUCCUAUAUAUAUGGGGCUUUUAGGGUAGAUUUGAGACGACUUUCUCACGGCUGCCCGACCACAUACCUCCAUAGUUUUUCCUCUAGAUCGCGUUUCUGCGGAGCUCGGGCGGAGCCCUGCUGAGACGAGAUCAUCACCAACCUCCGGAGCGCCGUCACGCUGCCGGAGAACUCUUCUACCUCUCCGUCUCUCUUGCUGGAUCAAGAAGGCCGAGAUCAUCGUCGAGCUGUACGUGUGCUGAACGCGGAGGUGCCGUCCGUUCGGCACUAGAUCGUGGGACUGAUCGCGGGAUUGUUCGCGGGGCGGAUCGAGGGACGUGAGGACGUUCCACUACAUCAACCGCGUUCACUAACGCUUCUGCUGUACGAUCUACAAGGGUACGUAGAUCACUCAUCCCCUCUCGUAGAUGGACAUCACCAUGAUAGGUCUUCGUGCGCGUAGGAAAAUUUUUGUUUCCCAUGCGACGUUCCCCAACAGUGGUAUCAGAGCUAGGUUCAUGCGUAGAUGUCUUCUCGAGUAGAACACAAAAGUUUUUGUGGGCGGUNNNNNNNNNNNNNNNNNNNNNNNNNNNNNNNNNNNNNNNNNNNNNNNNNNNNNNNNNNNNNNNNNNNNNNNNNNNNNNNNNNNNNNNNNNNNNNNNNNNNGUGAAGAACAAUAAGAAAUAGGAUAAAUAGUUACUAAGAUAACAUAAAUGUUUUACCUGGGAGAGACGGCGCCUGCGAGAUGACGUACGGCAAGUCAAAGUUGAUGCCCCUUAUAUGCUUGUGGCGCCCCCCCCCCCCCGGGCGGCGCCCGUCCCCCCGCCGACGUCGACGAGGACGCCGACUCCGUCGAAGCCGUCGAAGCGCUCGACCAUCUUGCUGAUGACCUUGACUGACAUGUGGAACAUGGCCUGGUUGAACACCCCGCUUAGCCGUGGGUUCUUCCCCAUGUACUGAAACAGCGGCACCCCGUGCGCCCUCUCGAACGGCGGUGGAACGCCGCCCACCACUGCCGCACCCAGUUGAUUCCUACAUGGAUGCUAAUGCUUAAUUAGCAUGGCAGUCAGCCAUCGGCGAAGUGAUGGAGCGCACACUUACCAGGUCGGCAAGUAGUCCUGGUCGACGGCGAAUAAGGCCAAGGGGGCCAGCGACCCAUCGCUGUGGUUGCUGGUGAGCCACCGGCACACCGGCGCGGGAGUGUACUUCCGGACCGCCUCACCGUCAGGACCCGUCUCCGUCGAGCAACGCACGACGUCGAAGGCGGCGAGGAGCCGGAGAAGCCGGUCCACCGAGGCUGCUGCCUGGGCCUUGUUCGGUGCCGGGAGUUGCGCGGCAAGGUCGUCCACCGUCAUCGCGCGGCCGGCGGCGUUGGUGAGUGCGUCAAUGAGGCCGAGCUCCACUGCCGUUUUCAGGGUCAGGGAGACGGCGAAGCCCGAGAUGAGGCCCCAUGCCCCCCCCCCCCCCCCACGUCGCUUCCUCGUCGUCACCAGCAGUUGGGUUCCUACAAGCCACGAUGUUUUCUCUGUUUUCCAUAACUAAACCACCCUGUGUUUGACUUUGCUUUCUGUGGUUAUGUAGUUUGAAUGGAUAGAAGCUGUAGGAAGGCGGUAUAUAUAUAAGGAGUGUGCCCUGCCGGAUCACCAAACUCCCUACCGGCCGGUGGUUCAUCAUCAUUGUUUGCAACAAUGAUGAUGCCUAAAUUGGUUGUCGAAAACUUGUACUUCUGCACUGAGAAGCAAACUAGUACUCCCUCGGUAAAGAAAUAUAAAAGCAUUUAGAUCAGUAAAUAGGGAUCUAAACACUCUUAUAUAUAUAUUUGUAUUGUUGUUAUCUUGUGGAAGAAUAUGAUUUCUGUUCUCAAGUGGAACAGAGAAGAGAGAGAAAAAUAUCACAUAAUCAGUUCGAAUGGAAGCACAAAGUGAGCCACUGUACUCGAUGUAAAAUUAUACUGAGUUUGAACGUGCCGCUUUCUCUUCCCGACUUCCUCGCCAUCUCUUGUAGACCAGAGGUGACCACCGUACCCUCCCGAUUCGUCUAGCCGACAACCAGAUCCUUGGAGCCCGAACUAGGAUUUGUCAGCCCCGACGUCCCCUGUGCCGCGCGCUCCCAUAUCCUCCACGGCCUCACCCCCUCGUCUCCUUUCCGUCAGAGAUGCAAGAAGUAGCUAAGCAAGGUGGAACCAUUGAAGCAGCUGUCACAUCCUAGAUUCUGUUUAUGGAACAUGAUGUUGCAAAGGCGAGAAAUAUGAAAUUGAUUCUUUGUUUGUUUGAACAGUUGCCCGGUCUGAAGAUAAAUUUUCAUAAAAGUGAACUGUUCUGCUUUGGGAAAGCCAAAGAAGAGCGGGAUACGUAUAAACAACUGUUCGGGUGCGCUUUAGGUAGCUUGCCGUUCAGUUAUCUAGGCAUACCAAUGCAUCAUCGGAAGUUAUCUAACAAGGAAUGGAAAUGUAUUGAGGACCGGUUCGAGAAAAAACUGAGUUGCUGGAAGGACAAGCUGUUGUCUUAUGGAGGUAGGCUGGUCUUGAUUAAUUCAGUACUCACAAGCAUGCCAAAUGUUCCUUGUUUCCUUUUUUGAGAUACCUCUUGGGGUACGAAAAAGGUUGGACUUCUAUAGAUCCCGCUUGUUUUGGCAGAGUGAUGAUGUCAAAAGAAAAUAUAGACUUUCUCGUUGGGAUGUUAUCUAAGACCCAAAGAGCAAGGAGGUCUUCGGAUUGAGAAUUUAGAGGUCAAGAACAAAUGUCUACUAAGCAAAUGGUUGUAUAGACUGUCUCUAGAGUCGGAAGGCAUGUGGAUACAAAUUUUGAGAAAUAAGUACUUGCAUGCUAAAACCUUGCUCGGGUCACUUUGAAACCCAAUGAUUCACCCUUUUGGAAAGGGACUAAUGAGAAUGAAAGCAUCUUUCUUCCAUAGGUCUAAGUUUAUCGUUGGUAAUGGUGAGAAUACGAGGUUUUAGGAAGACGCGUGGUUGGGGGAGACGCUGCUAGCCACACAAUAUCCGGCUCUAUAUAAUAUUGUGCAGCGUAAGGAGGCCUACGUUGCUACUGUCUUACAAUAUGUUCCUCCAAACAUACAGUUAAUAGAAGGAGUCUGUCGGGAGAUCGAUGGUUGGUUUGGCUUAAUCUAGUCAAGAGGCUGAUGGAGGUUAAUAUAUCGGAUGAGUCUGAUACACUUCAUUGGAAACUAUCUAAGAAUGACAUCUUUUCGGUGAAAUCGAUGUACUUGGACCUCAUUGACUCUAGAUCAAUUCCCAAAUAGAUUCAUAUUUGAAAGAUCAAAGUCCCUUGAAGAAUGAAAUUUUUCAUGUGGUUCGUUCAUAAGGAAGUGAUUCUCACUAAGGAUAGUUUGGCAAAGCAUAAUUGGGCGGGAAACACAAGAUGUAGCUUAUGUGAUCAACUUGAGACUGUCAAACACCUCUCUCUCGAGUGCCAUUUAGCAAAAAAUCUUUGAAGAUCCAUUCGUAUAGCCUUUAAUAUCACACCUCCAAAUAACAUUCACACGUUGUUUGGGACGAGGCUAGAUGGAGUAGACAUUUAUACGACAAGACAUAUUUGCAUAGGAGUAUGUGUGUUACUUUGGGCUAUAUGGAAUAGCAGAAAUGACAUGGUCUUUAACAGGCAAAAUCAUGCCAAUUUUUGGCAGAUUUUGUACAGGGCAACUUCUUUGAUCCGUAUAUGGUCGUUACUCACUCCUGCGAAGAACAGGGAGUCUUUGGUUACUGGAUCUACCCGAUGAAAAAUGGUACCUGAGGAUAUCUACAACCGGUUUGGAUGAUGAUACAAUAAUAGAAUAGGUGGAUAGGAUUUUCAUCCUAUUUUACGCCGGUUGUGGCUAUUUAUUUUUUAAUCUAUGUCGGAGCUUCUUCGUAAGCUUGUAUUGGAUUGCAGACUAUUUGUUCAUUGUUUUAAUAAAGAGGCCGUAUGAAUCUCUCUGGUUCAAAAACCGAAGGUGAGACUCCUGUUCUAAAAAAAGCAUCCUAGCUUUUUUUUCCCUAAAUCUACAAUGUUUAAAAUUUCCUAGAGAAUCAUCUUUUUUCUCCAAGAAACUUUUAUGAUUGUUGCUUUUAGUUAGUAUUGAUAAGAGUUGUUUGAAUUGUUCGGAGAAGUGACCAGAUUAAAAUUUUGGAAUUAGACAAAGUAAUGGCGGACAAGUUCCACCUGGCUUCAAGCUCGUUAACAUCAAGUUAUAUGGCAGAUCAACAGAUCCCUUUAUAUGGAUAGAAGACUAUACCCUCGCUAUCAACAUAGCAGAUGGCGACGACUUGCAUGCCAUAAAAUACCUACCGUUAAUAUUUAAAGGCUCAACUUGACACUGCCGCACUCCAUGCCGCUGAAUUCGAGUGGUACGGGGACGAUUUAGAGGCCCAAUUUAUGGCAAAAUUUCAGGACACGCAUGUCAAGCCUCCGGAUGCCAUUGACCUGGCCCUAGUAGUGUAGAAACCAGGCAAGUGCGUGCGCAAGUUCUGGUAUCGAUUUCUUACAAAGAAAAAUUAGAUAGUCGACUGCAGUGAAGUACUCCCUCCGUCCUAUAAUUCUUGUUUUAAGUUUGUCUAGAAAUGGAUGUAUGUAAAUACAAAAACGUGACUAGAUACAUUCAUACGUAGAAAAAUUUAAGACAAGAAUUUUGGGACGAAGGGGGUAGUGAACUUGCAGCAGUCCAGAACAAUAUUAACGACGAGUGGCUGUCGAGAGACUCAGACACCAUAAACUGAGGACCAUGGGUGCCCUCACACAGAUGAUGACNNNNNNNNNNNNNNNNNNNNNNNNNNNNNNNNNNNNNNNNNNNNNNNNNNNNNNNNNNNNNNNNNNNNNNNNNNNNNNNNNNNNNNNNNNNNNNNNNNNNGGGUUGCGUGGGGCGCGAGACGGGACGAGGGUGCAUAGCGAAAUGAGCAAGACGCGGGGGGUGUUAGCAGAAUUUUCCUCAUGCCACAGCCACAUCUCUCGGCGCACGUUUUGCGGGCGACUGGCCCCUGUGGGCCGUCCGAUGGGGGAGGCGGGCGGCUGGGAUCGGGCUGUGGGUCUCCCUGUGCCGUUCCAGAGGUGGUGCUUUCGCCAGCGGGACGGGGUAAUUUCGCUGGAAGCAACGGGGGGUUGCGCAAAUGUCGUCAGGGCCCAGUUAUUUUUUUUAGAAGGUCGUCAGGGCCCAAGUUGGGUUUUGUAUCGGCGUCGAAUGAUUCGGCCUUUGUUCGAAUGGGUCUAUGGGACCAGAAAUGGACGCGAAUUUCAGCCCGGAAGCCGAUUGUAACCCAUGUGAGAACAAAAAAUGCGGCCUGACAACGAUGCUUUCCCUUAGAAAAGCACAGCUAUUAUUAUGGUUUUUUUUUGGUAUGCUUCGGAACUAUUUGUUGGCUGAAAAACUAGACGGCCUCGUACAAUAAAGAUGUCGCUACCCAUCUUAAUAAAUUUGUUGAACUUGGUCACAGGCAAAAAUCUAAAGAUACGGGCAAUGAUACUAUAAGAGUAAGUCUAUUUCCCUUCUCCUUAAGAAAUAGCAUCGAUUCUUGAUCAAAAUGCAAAGACGCUUUUAUUGAAACGUAUUAACCUUCUGUGACAUUAUUUACUUGAGAAAUUUUUAUCNNNNNNNNNNNNNNNNNUAAUAAUAAUAAUAAAGAGGCUAUUGCUUCCGUCAGAAAACCCACCGCUGCCGUUUUUCAAAAAAGCCACUGUCUUUUAGGUAAUUAAACCCGCGGUACCUUUUUAUGUGUUACGAACAGGAAAACGUUUAAUUUUUGCAGAGAGCCCCUAUGGCAUUGGAUAAGAGAAACGCAUCUGGGCUGACAAAAAACACAUGAGAGGGAUAUCGCUUCUGCCCUCAUAAUCCCACAUCGAUACUUCACAGAUAAUUUCAUCACUUUAUAUACAUGCGCCUUGGUGAUUUUACAAGAGGCAACGGAAAUCAACAGAGGAACAAAUUCGAGAAGAAGAAAUUGGAAUGACACGAACAGAGGUGGAGCCGCGAGACAGAGGGGGUUAGGGGCGAAGGAAAGGGGUUGGCACCGGCGAUGCAUAGGUGGAGGUGGGGGCGUCGGGGUUAGAGGAUUCAGGCAACCGGCGGGGUAAGGCUUGCCGGAGACGCAAGAAGCACCAUGGGGGCGGAAGAGAAAAGAGAGGAGACCGGGGGUAGGAGUACCGGCUGGCGCUCGGGCACUGGAGCUGGCCCCGUCACCCCCAGUCUCCAGCAACCCUCCACAAUGGCCCCGUAGGCCGACCUCGCAGAAGCACACCAUGGGAGGCGGUCACGAGGUGCGGAGGUGGGAGGCGGUGGAGGAGCAGAGGAGGGAAGUGUGGGCGCCAUUGGAAGGGGUAGUCAGGGAGAUUGGGGAUCCACUGGGGCUCUCUCCCCUAGCGACACGGGGUGGAGGAGAGGAGGGGGGCUGGGGAUCGGGCUAGGUUAGGGGAUUUAGGAAUGGGUAAGGCUCGGCCUUGGCAGGCCUAAUGGGUUGUGCACUACUACUCUCUCUCUUUCCUUUAAUUUCUUUCUCUAAAUUCUUUAAUUAAAAAUGUGUGGUAUUAUUUUUUCCCGUUGCAACACACGGGUCCUUUUGCUAUAAUAAUAAAGAGGCUAUUGCUUCCGUCAGAAAACCCACCGCUGCCGUUUUUCAAAAAAGCCACUGUCUUUUAGGUAAUUAAACCCGCGGUACCUUUUUAUGUGUUACGAACAGGAAAACGUUUAAUUUUUGCAGAGAGCCCCUAUGGCAUUGGAUAAGAGAAACGCAUCUGGGCUGACAAAAAACACAUGAGAGGGAUAUCGCUUCUGCCCNNNNNNNNNNNNNNNNNNNNNNNNNNNNNNNNNNNNNNNNNNNNNNNNNNNNNNNNNNNNNNNNNNNNNNNNNNNNNNNNNNNNNNNNNNNNNNNNNNNNCCUCUAGGGCAUAAUUCCAACAGUCUCCCACUUGCACUAGAGUCAAUAAUCUAGCCCUCACAUCAUCAUGCGAAUUACAUUGUAAUAAAUCUAACACCCAUACAGUUCUGGUGUUGAUCAUGCUUUUGCCGUGGAAGAGGUUUAGUCAGCGGGUCAGCUACAUUCAGAUCCGUGUGCACUUUGCAUAUAUUUACGUCCUCUACUUCGACGUAGUCGCGGAUGAGGUUGAAGCGUCGUUUGAUGUGUCUGGACUUCUUGUGAAACCGUGGUUCCUUUGCUAAGGCAAUGGCACUUCUGUUGUCACAGAACAAGGUUAUUGGAUUCAGUGCGCUUGGCACCACUCCAAGAUCCGUCAUGAACUACUUCAUCCAGACACCCUCCUUAGCCGCCUCUGAGGCAGCCAUGUACUCCGCUUCACAUGUAGAAUCUGCUACGACGCUUUGCUUAGAAGUGCACCAGCUUACCGCACCCCCAUUAAGAAUAAAUACGUAUCCGGUUUGCGACUUAGAGUCGUCCGGAUCUAUAUCAAAGCUUGCAUCGACGUAACCUUUUACGGCGAGCUCUUCGUCACCUCCAUACACGAGAAACAUCUCCUUAGUCCUUUUCAGGUACUUCAGGAUAUUCUUGACCGUUGUCUAGUGAUCCACUCCUGGAUUACUCUGGAACCUACCUGCCAUACUUAUGGCCAGGCUAACGUCCGGUCUAGUGCACAACAUUGCAUACAUGAUAGAACCUAUGGCUGAAGCAUAGGGGACGGAGCACAUAUGUUCUCUAUCUUCAUCAGUUGCUGGGCACUGAGUCUUACUCAAUCUCGUACCUUGUAAAACUGGCAAGAACCCCUUCUUGGACUGUUCCAUUUUGAACCUCUUCAAAACUUUAUCAAGGUAUGUGCUUUGUGAAAGUCCUAUCAGGCGUUUUGAUCUAUCCCUAUAGAUCUUAAUGCCUAGAAUGUAAGCAGCUUCUCCUAGGUCCUUCAUAUAGAAACUUUUAUUCAAGUAAUCCUUUAUGCUCUCCAAAAACUCUACGUUGUUUCCAAUUAGCAAUAUGUCAUCCAUAUAAUAUUAGAAACGCCACAGAGCUCCCACUCACUUUCUUGUAAAUACAAGAUUCUCCAACCACUUGUAUAAACCCAAAUGCUUUGAUCACCUCAUCAAAGCAUUUGUUCCAACUCCGAGAUGCUUGCACCAGUCCAUAAAUGGAUCGCUGGAGCUUGCACAUCUUGUUAGCAUUCUUAGGAUCGACAAAACCUUCGGGUUGCAUCAUAUACAAUUCUUCCUUAAGGAAACCGUUAAGGAACGCCGUUUUGACAUCCAUCUGCCAGAUUUCAUAAUCGAAAAAUGCAGCUAUUGCUAACAUGAUUCUGACGGACUUAAGCAUCGCUACAGGUGAGAAUGUCUCAUCGUAGUCAACUCCUUAAACUUGUGAAAAACCAUUUACCACAAGUCGAGCUUUAUAAACGGUCACAUUGCCGUCAGCGUCUGUCUUCCUCUUAAAGAUCCGUUUGUUCUGAAUAGCCUUGCGGCCCUCAGGCAGUACCUCCAAAGUCCACACUUUGUUCUCAUACAUGGAUCCUAUCUCGGACUUCAUGGCUUCUAGCCAUUUGUUGGAAUCUGGGCCCACCAUUGCUUCUUCAUAAUUUGCAGGUUCAUUGUUGUCCAACAACAUGAUUGAUAAGACGGGAUUACCGUACCACUCUGGAGCAGCACGUGGUCACGUCGACCUGCGUGGUUCGACAGAAACUUGAACCGGAGUUUCAUGAUCAUCAUCAUUAACUUCCUCCUCAACCGGCGUCGCAAUGACAGAGGUUUCCCCUUGCCCUGCGCCACCAUCCAGAGGGAUGAGAGGUUCGACAACCUCGUCAAGUUCUAUCUUCCUCCCACUCAAUUCUCUCGAGAGAAACUCCUUCUCGAAAAAAGCUCCGUUUUUAGCAACAAACACUUUGCCCUCGGAUUUGAGAUAGAAGGUGUACCCAACUGUCUCUUUUGGGUAACCUAUGAAGAUGCACUUUUCCGCUUUGGGUUCCAGCUUUUCAGGCUGAAGCUUUUUGACAUAAGCAUCACAUCCCCAAACUUUAAGAAACGACAACUUUGGCCUUUUGCCAUUCCACAGUUCGUAUGGUGUCGUCUCAACGGAUUUCGAUGGUGCCCUACUUAAAGUGAAUGCAGCUGUUUCUAAUGCAUAACCCCAAAACGAUAACGGCAAAUCGGUAAGAGACAUCAUAGAUCGCACCAUCUCUAAUAAAGUACGAUUACGAUGUUCGGACACACCAUUACGCUGUGGUGUUCCAGGCGGUGUCAACUGUGAAACAAUUCCACAUUGUCUUAAGUGAGCACCAAACUCGAAACUCAGAUAUUCACCCCCACGAUCAGACCCUAGGAACUUGAUCUUCUUGUUACGAUGAUUUUCAACUUCACUCUAAAAUUGCUUGAACUUUUCAAAUGUUUCAGACUUGUGCUUCAUUAAGUAGACAUAACCAUAUCUACUCAAAUCGUCAGUGAAGGUGAGAAAAUAACGAUAUCCGCCGCGUGCCUCCACGCUCAUCGGACCACACACAUCGGUAUGUAUGAUUUCCAACAAGUCACUUGCACGCUCCAUUGUUCCGGAGAACGGAGUCUUAGUCAUCUUGCCCAUGAGGCAUGGUUCGCACGUGUCAAGUGAAUCAAAGUCAAGUGACUCCAAAAGUCCAUCGGCAUGGAGUUUCUUCAUGCGCUUUACACCAAUAUGACCUAAGCGGCAGUGCCACAAAAAUAUGGCGCUAUCAUUGUUAACUCUAACUCUUUUGGUCUCAAUGUUAUGUAUGUGUGUAUCGCUAUCAAGAUUCAAUAUGAACAAUCCUCUCACAUUGGGUGCAUGACCAUAAAAGAUGUUACUCAUAGAAAUAGAACAACCAUUAUUCUGUGACUUAAAAGAGUAACCGUCUCGCAAUAAACAAGAUCGAGAUAUAAUGUUCAUGCUCAACGCAGGCACUAAAUAACAAUGAUUCAAGUUCAUAACUAAUCCUGAUGGUAACUGAAGUGAAACUGUGCCGAUGGCGAUUGCAUCAACCUUGGAACCAUUUCCUACGCGCAUCGUCACUUCAUCUUUCGCCAGCCUUCGUCUAUUCCGCGGUUCCUGUUUCGAGUUACAAAUAUGAGCAACAGAACCACUAUCGAAUACCCAGGCACUACUACGAGAGCCGGUUAAGUACACAUCAAUAACAUGUAUAUCAAAUAUACCUGAUUUUUUCUUUGGCCGCCUUCUUAUCUGCGAGAUACUUGGGGCAAUUGCGCUUCCAGUGACCCAUACCCUUGCAAUAGUAACACUCUGUUUCAGGCUUAGGUCCAGCUUUGGGUUUCUUCGUUGGAUUGGCAACAGGCUUGCCGCUCUUCUUUGAAUUACCCUUCUUGCCUUUGCUGUUUCUCUUGAAACUAGUGGUCUUAUUCACCAUCAACACUUGAUGCUCUUUACGGAGUUCAGACUCUGCUACUUUCAGCAUCGCAAACAACUCGCCGGGUGACUUGUUCAUCCCUUGCAUGUUGUAGUUCAACACAAAGCCUUUAUAGCUUGGCGGCAGUGAUUGAAGGAUUCUGUCAGUGAUAGCCUCUUGCGGGAGUUCAAUCCCCAGCUCAGCUAGACGGUUUGAGUACCCAGACAUUUUGAGCACAUGUUCACUGACAAACAAGUUCUCCUCCAUCUUGCAGGCAUAGAAUUUAUCGGAGGUCUCAUACCUCUCGAUCCGGGUGUUCUUCUGAAAGAUAAACUUUAACUCCUGGAACAUCUCAAAUGCUCCAUGACGCUCAAAGCGACGUUGAAGUCCCGGUUCUAAGCCAUACAAGACUGCACAUUGAACUACUGAGUAGUCCUCCUUACGUGCUAACAAAGCGUUCUUAACAUCCUGAUCAGCCGUAGCGGGUGGUUCAUCUCCUAGCGCAGCAUUAAGGACAUAAUCCUUCUUCCCAGCUUGUAAGAUUAGCUUAAGAUUACGAGCCCAGUCUACAAAGUUGCUUCCAUCAUCUUUCAACUUAGCUUUCUCUAGGAACGUAUUAAAAUUCAGGGUGACUGUCGCGUGAGCCAUGAUCUACAACACAAAUAUAUUCAAAGUGGACUUAGACUAUGUUCAAGAUAAUUAGAGUUUAACUUAAUCAAAUUAUUCGCUAAACUCCCACUCAAAAAGUACAUCUCUCUUGUCAUUUGAGUGGUUCGUGAUCCACUUACACUAGCUCAAGUCCGAUCAUCACGUGAGUUGAGUAUAGUUUCAGUGGUAAGCAUCCCUAUGCUAAUCAUAUCAUCUAUAUGAUUCAUGAUCGACCUUUCGGUUUCAUGUGUUCCGAGGCCAUGUCUGCACAUGCUAGGCUCGUCAAGCUUAACCCGAGUGUUCCGCGUGCGCAACUGUUUUGCACCCGUUGUAUGUGAAUCUAUCACACCCGAUCAUCACGUGGUGUCUCGAAACGACGAACUGUAGCAACGGUGCACAGUCGGGGAGAACACAAUUUCGUCUUGAAAUUUUAGUGAGAGAUCACCUGAUAAUGCUACCGUCGUUCUAAGCAAAUUAAGGUGCAUAAAAGGAUUAACAUCACAUGCAAUUCAUAAGUGACAUGAUAUGGCCAUCAUCACGUGCUUCUUGAUCUCCAUCACCAAAGCACCGGCACGAUCUUCUUGUCACCGGCGCCACACCAUGAUCUCCAUCAACGUGUGGCCAUCGGGGUUGUCGUGCUACUCAUGCUAUUACUACUAAAGCUACAUCCUAGCAAAAUAGUAAACGCAUCUGCAAGCACAAACAUUAGUAUAAAGACAACCCUAUGGCUCCUGCCGGUUGCCGUACCAUCCCGGUACAUUCCCAAUAACUCCGAAAACCUUCCGGUAAUCAAAUGAGGUCAUCCUAUAUAUCAAUCUUCGUUUCCGGACCAUUCCGGAAACCCUCAUGACGUCCGUGAUCUCAUCCGGGACUCCAAACAACAUUCGGUAACCAACCAUAUAACUCAAAUACGCAUAAAACAACGUCGAACCUUAAGUGUGCAGACCCUGCGGGUUCGAGAACUAUGUAGACAUGACCCGAGAGACUCCUCGGUCAAUAUCCAAUAGCGGGACCUGGAUGCCCAUAUUGGAUCCUACAUAUUCUACGAAGAUCUUAUCGUUUGAACCUCAGUGCCAAGGAUUCAUAUAAUCCCGUAUGUCAUUCCCUUUGUCCUUCGGUAUGUUACUUGCCCGAGAUUCGAUCGUCAGUAUCCGCAUACCUAUUUCAAUCUCGUUUACCGGCAAGUCUCUUUACUCGUUCCGUAAUACAAGAUCCCGCAACUUACACUAAGUUACAUUGCUUGCAAGGCUUGUGUGUGAUGUUGUAUUACCGAGUGGGCCCCGAGAUACCUCUCCGUCACACGGAGUGACAAAUCCCAGUCUUGAUCCAUACUAACUCAACGAACACCUUGGGAGAUACCUGUAGAGCAUCUUUAUAGUCACCCAGUUACGUUGCGACGUUUGAUACACACAAAGUAUUCCUCCGGUGUUAGUGAGUUAUAUGAUCUCAUGGUCAUAGGAACAAAUACUUGACACGCAGAAAAUAGUAGCAACAAAAAGACACGAUCAACAUGCUACGUCUAUUAGUUUGGGUCUAGUCCAUCACGUGAUUCUCCUAAUGACGUGAUCCAGUUAUCAAGCAACAACACCUUGUUCAUAAUCAGAAGACACUGACUAUCUUUGAUCAACUGGCUAGCCAACUAGAGGCUUGCUAGGGACAGUGUUUUGUCUAUGUAUCCACACAUGUAAAUGAGUCUUCAUUCAAUACAAUUAUAGCAUGGAUAAUAAACGAUUAUCUUGAUACAGGAAUUAUAAUAAUAACUAUAUUUAUUAUUGCCUCUAGGGCAUAAUUCCAACACGAUCUUGUGUGAGUCCAUGGUGGUUUCGUGAGCCCCUUGGGAGCUCCUAUUCCAUGUUGAAACCAUGUAUUUGUUGUUAUAACUCUGGCAUCUGGCCCAUGAUACUCCUGCUUAGUGUGGUUAUGUGCUUCGCUCACUCGCUUAGUUUAUUUUUUCAUCGUUCCCUUUGUACCUAAGAAAAAAAAACAUAUUUUUUUAUUUUGAAAAGUUCAUCAAAUCGAGAGAUAUUCAUGAAUUUUAAGAUUGGUGCGAAUUAAAAAAAACAUAAAUGUGAAUAAAUUUCCACAUCUUAAAAAAAUGCUCAUCGCAUUUAAAAAGAUUCACAUAGUUUUUAAUUGUUUUUUAACUUUAAAAAUAUGCAUAAAUUUUAAAAACAUUGAUGAAUUUGUAAAAUAAAAAUUCAUGUCUUUUAAAAAUGUUCAUGAUUCUUUUAAACACUCAUGAAUUAAAAUGUGAAAAAGAAAUAAAAAAGAGAAGGCUUUUUUAUAAAAAAUUAAAAGAGAGGAAAAACAAGAACUAAAAGAGUAUUAAAACAGGUAGAAAAAAGAAGGAAAAAUUAAAGAAAACAGUCAAGGCCUUCUAAAACCUUGCUAAAACCACGAACGCCAACAAAGGCAUUAUGGUUAUAUAAAUGUCCAUUACUCUCAAGCAACAACACACACCUUCCAAAUGAAGCCAUAGCGACCUCGCAGCCAUCGAUGCACGAGAAAGAUCCAAAUCGAAGGACCUUCGUAUCCUACUUGUAGAUAUUAGUUAGAUUUCAGGUUUCCAUGAAAUUUCUGAAAAAAAAGAAACGGGCAAAAGAUUUGUCGCAAGGAGGGGAAAUGAUGUUUAUGUUACAAGCCUCCAAGCUAUAAAUACGUUACUCUCCUGGAACGAUGGUCCCUAACUUUUUGGCGCUUGCGGUGAUCCAAAGCCUAGCUUCGAUCCUGAUGUUGUUGAACGAGAUUGUCGACGGAGAGGACCUGUUGCGGAAGACCUUCGCGUUGCGUCCAUUCCAGAUAACCCAAGCUAUUAGCAUGGUAAGGGAGGCCCGGGCCUUGCGAUAUGGCACUGUGAUGUUGGAGCGGUUGAGCCACCAGUCUUUGACCGAUGGCAUGGCAAAAAUGUGGUCUGCUCGUUAUAUGUAUGUGGGUUACUUGGGGGCAAAGAUGGGUGUGUGCUGAUCCGAAGGCGCAGAAGCAUGUCAUAAGGCUGACAACAAUCUCGCAACGAGAGGCUCAUAUAACAAGCAUUGCUGCAUCGCCGAAUGAAGAUAACAAAUAAAUAANNNNNNNNNNNNNNNNNNNNNNNNNNNNNNNNNNNNNNNNNNNNNNNNNNNNNNNNNNNNNNNNNNNNNNNNNNNNNNNNNCCCGCCGCUCCAGAGCCAGGCCAAGUCUCCCCCCAACCUCCCAGAACCCGAAUUGUUAAACCGUGCAUCCAUCCAUCCAUUCAAUUGUUAAUUUGUUAAUCCUGAAUGGUUAGAAUUUAUAAGGAAACUAAAACGCGAUGCGCUAAAGUAUGCUAAUGCUGGAAUUUCCAAUCACAGAAUUGAUAAUCAACUUCAAUGUCGAGUUAGGCUCUCAAGCCUGAACUCAAAAGCAACCGCUGUGGCCGGCGUUGAUAUUUUAGGAUUACCUUCCAUGGUCCACUCCAAAUGUCAAGUUAACGUCCAAAGAACAGCGAGCAACUCUGACUUGUUUUCAAAUGAUUUACCGAGUGAUGGAUCGUUCGAUCGUUUACCCGUCCAUCGUGUGCAGCGUACGUUGUGCUAGAACUACAAGCAAGCAAGCACGCAUGACCGUCAGACGAUGCUGACAGAGAGAGAGGGAGAUCCAUCGAUCUGCAGAUUGACAGAUCCAGCGACUCGAUCCUCUCCCUGCAGAUUGAAAUCCAACUCAUCAUCAUGUCUUCUUCUUUAUCCUCUUAAUUAAUUACGUAUCACUCUCGAAGGGAGAUGGCCAGAUGCGUCCCCCCUUGCUUGAACCACUCGUAAUCGAACAAGGGAAAAAAGAUAAACCUCUCAACUGUUCGUGGCGUCCGACUCAGCAGAGAGAGAGAGAGAGGUCGUUGCUGCCGGACUCAACUUUCUUAAGGCCGGGCGAGGCCGUCGCCGUCGCCCGACCGUCCACAUACUCUAAGCGGCGCACGCAUCAAGCCCGCCGGCCGGCCGGUCCGGAUGCGUGCGACCUCUAGCUAGCUAGCUAGCUUAGAUCAAACCCUGAUUUGUUUGCUUUGUUUUUCCCAUCUCUUUUGUCCAUGGCGAUGGACGCCAAGCUAGCUGUCUGGCUGCCUCCCGCUGCCACGUCGCCAUUCUUCCAUCNNNNNNNNNNNNNNNNNNNNUAAACUAAACUAAACUAAGCUAAGCUAAGCAUGGUGCUGGCUAGCUGUGGCCACAAGUUGAGCAAGCCUUGCUGAAUGAAUGCUGCUGUCUGUCCUAACCCCUGAGCUGCAGCACACUAAUCAUUUGCUUGUCCUUUUCCAUGCAUCACCCACCAUCAACUUACCACCUCCUCCGAUCAUAUACCCACACCGUCUCCUCUCCAUUGAUCCCACCCCACCCCACCCCCUCUACCCCUCUCUCUCNNNNNNNNNNNNNNNNNNNNNNNNNNNNNNNNNNNNNNNNNNNNNNNNNNNNNNNNNNNNNNNNNNNNNNNNNNNNNNNNNNNNNNNNNNNNNNNNNNNNAUGAUGCCACUGUUGGGGAACGUCGCAUGGCAAACAAAAAAUUUCCUACGCGCACGAAGACCUAUCAUGGUGAUGUCCANNNNNNNNNNUGAACCGUCCCGCGAUCAGUACCACGAUCUAGUGCCGAACGGACGGCACCUCCGCGUUCAGCACACGUACAGCUCGACGAUGNNNNNNNNNNACGCCCCGCGAACAGUCCCGCGAUCAGUCCCACGAUCUAGUGCCGAACGGACGGCACCUCCGCGUUCAACACACGUACAACUCGACGAUGAUAUCGGCCUUCUUGAUCCAGCAAGAGAGACGGAGAGGUAGAAGAGUUCUCCGGCAGCGUGACGGCGCUCCGGAGGUUGGNNNNNNNNNNNNNNNNNNNUCGCGUUCAGCAUACGUACAGCUCGACGAUGAUCUCGGCCUUCUUGAUCCAGCAAGAGAGACGAAGAGGUAGAAGAGUUCUCCGGCAGCGUGACGGCGCUCCGGAGGUUGGUGAUGACCUUGUCUCAGCAGGGCUCCGCCCCGAGCUCCGCAGAAACGCAAUCUAGAGGAAGAACCGUGGAGGUAUGUGGUCGGGCUGCCGUGGAAAGUCGUCUCAAAUCAGCCCUAAAACCUCCGUAUAUAUAGGUGGGAGNNNNNNNNNNNNNNNNNNNNNNNNNNNNNNNNNNNNNNNNNNNNNNNNNNNNNNNNNNNNNNNNNNNNNNNNNNNNNNNNNNNNNNNNNNNNNNNNNNNNGAACAAGGUGUUGUUGCUUGAUAACUGGAUCACGUCAUUAGGAGAAUCACGUGAUGGACUAGACCCAAACUAAUAGACGUAGCAUGUUGAUCGUGUCGUUUUGUUGCUACUGUUUUCUGCGUGUCAAGUAUUUGUUCCUAUGACCANNNNNNNNNNUGUGGAUACAUAGACAAAACACUGUCCCUAGCAAGCCUCUAGUUGGCUAGCCAGUUGAUCAAAGAUAGUCAGUGUCUUCUGAUUAUGAACAAGGUGUUGUUGCUUGAUAACUGGAUCACGUCAUUAGGAGAAUCCCGUGAUGGACUAGACCCAAACUAAUAGACGUAGCAUGUUGAUCGUGUCAUUUUGUUGCUACNNNNNNNNNNUGAGAUCAUAUAACUCACUAACGCCGGAGGAAUACUUUGUGUGUAUCAAACAUCGCAACGUAACUGGGUGACUAUAAAGAUGCUCUACAGGUAUCUCCGAAGGUGUUGUUGAGUUAGUAUGGAUCAAGACUGGGAUUUGUCACUCCGUGUGACGGAGAGGUAUCUCGGGGCCCACUCGGUAAUACAACAUCACACACAAGCCUUGCAAGCAAUGUGACNNNNNNNNNNNNNNNNNNNNNNNNNNNNNNNNNNNNNNNNNNNNNNNNNNNNNNNNNNNNNNNNNNNNNNNNNNNNNNNNNNNNNNNNNNNNNNNNNNNNGUCACAUUGCUUGCAAGGCUUGUGUGUGAUGUUGUAUUACCGAGUGGGUCCCGAGAUACCUCUCCGUCACACGGAGUGACAAAUCCCAGUCUCGAUCCAUACUAACUCAACUAACACCUUCGGAGAUACCUGUAGAGCAUCUUUAUAGUCACCCAGUUACGUUGCGACGUUUGAUACACAUAAAGCAUUCCUCCGGUGUCAGUGAGUUAUAUGAUCUCAUGGUUAUAGGAACAAAUACUUGAUACGCAGAAAACAGUAGCAACAAAAUGACACGAUCAACAUGCUACGUCUNNNNNNNNNNUUAGUCCAUCACAUGAUUCUCCUAAUGAUGUGAUCCCGUUAUCAAGUAACAACACUUGCCUAUGGCCAGGAAACCUUGGCCAUCUUUGAUCAACGAGCUAGUCAACUAGAGGCUUACUAGGGACAGUGUUUUGUCUAUGUAUCCACACAAAUAUUAUGUUUCCAAUCAAUACAAUUAUAGCAUGGAUAAUAAACGAUUAUCAUGAACAAAGAAAUAUAAUAAUAACUAAUUAUUAUUGCCUCUAGGGCAUAUUUCCAACAGAUAAUAAACACAUAAUUGUAUGGUGUCUGCUUUUAUCCAAAUCACUAGAAGCAAAAUCUUAAUCCAUGUACCGAACGAGUCAUCAAAGAUAGAAAGGAACGUUGAACAUCGUAUUUGCAAUAUUUCCAGUAUUAUAGAUGUAGAAACCAGCAUUGUUAAUCAAGGUUUUUCUUUAAAGUGUAUUUCUCCCUUCAAAAUACCAUCCAUCUAAUUUGUUAAAGUAUGGAACUCUCGCCCAGAGCCGCGGAACUCAUGACUCUAUUAGAAAGUAGAAUGACCAACUUUUACAUGAAUUUUCAAGUGGAUGAGAUCAGUCGAAUGGUCUCUGUUCGAGAUGGGAUAGUAUGUGUUUAUGGACUGAACGAGAUUCAAAGCAGGAGAAAUGAUGGAAUUUGCCAGCGGUGCAAAAGGAAUCAUUUUUAAUCUUGAGAAUGAGAGUAGGUAUUGUUAUCUUUGGUAGUAAUACCACUAUUAAAGGACAUAUUGUCAAACACACUAGAUCUAGUGUGGAUGUACCUACGGUUGAGAAACUAGAGAACCAGAAACACAAGCUUUCUAGGAAAGAUACUUCAAAACGAAUAACAUUUCUUCGAAGCAAGAUUGCAGGAUCAGCCUAACUGAGUAAACAUUGAGACGAGUUUCUUGUCUAGAAAUCUGUGCCAUCAAGAAAAAUUCUUGAAGGUUCUUCUACCCUCCACAAAAUGUACCGGGACACCAAAGCUCGUGCGCAAAUUGUCUUCAAAAUCAAACCAAGCCUGAGCGUUGAGGUCCGAAAGUGUCAUGAUUGAAAACCCGAAACACAAUGGGUCGGUAUGGUGCCUAUAGCUGCCGGAGUGUCCGCGAGAGGGAAAGGGGUGGUUGACGCGACCGGGGCGUGGUCAGCACCAGGGGGUCAGUGGUCGCCGCCGGUGAGGGGCUGAUUACGCAGAUGCUAGCAUGGGGCUAGGGGCUAGUACAGCUCGCGCCGAGUGUACUUACAUGUUUGUCAUGUAGUUCAAAUAUCAUAUUGAAGUAAAUUAUAAAUUUUGGCAUUCUACUUACUGUGUAAGUUCAACACACGAUUUUACCAUACAUACAUAGGGAGGUACAUUUCUUAUUCAUUGAUUUUUUUACAAGAGUUAUAAAUAGAUACUCAUUGCAUAUUUUAUUUGGAGUACGGACGUCAGAAAAAAAUCCUACAUCCGCAGUCUAAUUAAUGAACAUCAUGUUCAUUGCCCUUUGCCCUGGCAGGCCCGACGCAAAGGCACCGGAGGGUCGGAGAGAGCGCCGUCCACGAUCUGGUCGAAGAUAAACUUGUAAGCCGCUUCGGUCAAGUGCACCCCAUCCCAGCUCACGCUCUUGGACGGGUCCACGCACGACUUCCCCCCCAGGACCGGAUCGCCACACCGGAUGUUCUUGUCGAAGUUGUAUUGGCCGCCGCCGUACCCGCAGCACACGCGCAGAGGAUCCCCAAAACCGAACUUUUUGGCUUCGCUCAUCAGCUUGUACAUGGCGGCGUACAGGUCGACGUAGGUGAAGGCGGCCUCUGGGAGAGCGACCCUAAGCCUCGCCACGACCUCCUUGAGCCGGGCGUUGAAGAACCGGGGGCCGGCGUUGAGCGCGAUGGAGCAGCCGGCGUCAUCCUUCUCUCCGGCAAGGUCCGGUCGGUAGACCAGGCCGUAGGGGAGGCACCCGAACGUCCCCGUGUUGUGCACCCAGAAGUACCUCCCGCCGAGGUUGUACACCGUCUGGAUCGCCGACUCGAGCCUCUCCAUCAGAUCGGGGACGUAGGCUUCCACUUGCUCCGUGGUCAUGUUGUCUAGGUAGCCCAUGGCGAGGUCGUUGGCGCCGAUUUUGAAGGUGUAAAGCGCCUUGGAGACCAGGUGCUCGGGGUUCGGCAGGAUCUCCCGGUAGACUCCGCCUACGUUGUUGUAGAUGUGCGAUAACUAUGUCACAUCUAAAUGUGUCCUAAACACACCCUUGCUAAAAAUACAUCCAGGAGCUGCAUUUAAGUUUGAUUUUCACCUAUGUUGUUGUAGACGAAGCGGCUCCUGNNNNNNNNNNGCUGCACGUCCAGGGAAAUGGGGCUGUACCCGGAGGUCCACAGGCUCCCGUUCACCCGUCUGAUGGUUCCGGCGGCGCUCGCGAAAUUGGCUCCCUGCGUGAAGUUGCUCCCUAGUGAAUCCAGGUACGCAUUCAGGUAACGUAGCCCCAGGUUUUGAGCUGCGAUACGUCGUACGUGUUAGGAAAAAUAAAAAAUCUCUAGUUUUGAGUUGUUUGUGCAGGAAAGAAAAAACUCUAAAUCCAUCCUAGUUUUGAGUUGUAGAUAAAUGUCAUGAGUACCCAUGAAGUCGAUGACGAGGCGGCCGUCGCUCUGCCGCCCGGCCGGCAUGCCGAAGAAGGUCUGGCCGUAGGGCGGCUGCACCGCCGGGAAGNNNNNNNNNNGAGGAGUCGCCGAAGUUGAAGAUGGCCGGGAAGCCGCACGGGGAAUCUUCGGAGCGCACCAUUUCUAGUACCACCAGCAACACCACGAACGUGAUCAGUUUGUUGGUGGCCAUGGUGGUGCGACGGCGAGCUGAAAUCAUUUCCGACCUCUCGACCGUGUGCCGUGACGGUGAAGCUGCUUGAAGUGGAUUUAUACACGCCGGCACCGAGGUCGUCACAGUCGAGCACCCGUGUUGGACUGGCGGUCUCCGACGUGAUCCUAAAGAGAUGGAAUAGCUACGUUUUGUUGACAACUAGUAUUAAGCGGCUGAUUUCCAUGCACCACCCUCCAUAGACCAACGGGUCAUCACCGUUUGCGUGGCACCUUAGGACAAGCAACAAGGCGUGCUUGACCCUUGAUUACUCUCUAGCACUACAGUAUCUUGACGUUUAGUUCCAUGGUGACGUGGCCAAGAUGCAUUCAUUUCUGCGAGAAAUAAUUAUGGACUGAUGAAAUAUCUUCUGUACAAUAUUUGAGUAGCGACACGUGUCGGAGUGGGAACAAGUGAAGGCGAUGGAUUCGGGGGCGGCGAUCAACUCGAUGCUGCAGACUGAAGAACGAUCAGGAUGCAUGAAGUCCUUUUGCGUUUGUCUUUCAAACUAUGCUCUCGUUUCGCAUGCGGAUUAUGCUUUAUUGUUUAAAUUCGAACUCAUUUGCCGAAAUCGCUGUCAAAUUCCAACUAUGUUCUAUUGCGUGGUUUUUCGGUUUGCGGGUCGCCGCGGUGGCACCCGAGCACACACCACAUUGACAACCCGUAUAAUAGCAUUUUUUUGCGAAUAUGCUUUAUACGGCUCCGUUUUGGGGGGUCCACCUCUGUCCGCACCCGCGCCGCCCGCAAGAUCCAUUUUUCACGAACUGUAAACGAUUUUUGCGGGUCGAAAUUAUACGGGGUCUGCUAGAAAUGCCCUUAUGAUCAUGUUGGAGCACCAGCCCAAAACGGAUGAUGGACUCCGACGACUUGACGGUGCCGGCGUGUAUGAAUCCUGACGGCCAGUGCCAUUCUCAAAAGGACAAAAGAAGAAAAAAAGGACCAGUCCAGUAGUAAUGCAUGUGGUACUUCAUGUUCUGGAUGGAUGCUGGACUUGACUUGCCGGCCGGCCUGUAUAAACCACAAAUCAUUUUCCCUGCAGCUUCACCGUCACGGGCACCGGACGAGCGGCGGGAAAUGGCUUGAGCUCAUGGUUGAACUACCAUGGCGACCAAUCUCAUGUCCGUCGUGUUGCUAAUGGUGAUAAAGCUCUCUGCUGGGGCGCGCUCUGACGAAUCCCCGUGCAGCUUCCCGGCAAUCUUCAAUCUCGGUGACUCCAACUCGGACAACGGAGCUUUCCCGACCCUCUUUCCGGCUGUGCAGCCGCCCUACGGCCAGACCUUCUUGGGCAAUGGGCAUGCCGGCCGGGCGGCAAAGCGACGGCUGCCUCACCAUCGACUUCCUGGGUACACAUCUAUCUACAACAUCUCAUAGGGAUCGUAUGCAUCGUGCUGCUGCAGAGGUGAUAACCGAUGAUUUUAUUUCCUAACACACGUAACGUACGUAUUGCAGCUCAAGCAUGUUACCUGAGUGCAAUUUACUCAAUAUAACAUGUUUGUCAUGUAGUUCACCAUAGAUAUAUUUCUUAUUCAUAGAUUUUCUACACGAUAUUAUCUCAUUGCAGAUUUUAUUUGGAUUACGGAUACUAGUGCAGAUUUUAUUUGGAGUACGGAUGUCUGGAAAAAUAAUCCUACAUUCAGAAUCUAAUUAAUGAACAUCAUGCGCAUUGCCCUUUGCCCUGGCAGGCCCCACGCAAAGGCACCGGAGGGUCGGAGAGAGCGCCGUCCACGAUCUGGUCGAAGAUGAAUUUGUAAGCCGCCUCUGUCAAGUGCACCCCAUCCCAGCUCACGCUCUUCGAUGGGUCCUCGCAAGACUUCCCCUCUAGGACCGGAUCACCGCACCGGAUGUUCUUGUCGAAGUUGUACUGGCCGCCGCCGUACCCGCAACACACACGCAGAGGAUCCCCAAAACCGAACUUUUUGGCUUCGCUCAUCAACUUGUACGUGGCGGCGUACACGUCGACGUAGGUGAAGGCGGCCUCGGGGAGAGCCACCCUGAGCCUCGCCACGGUCUCCUUGAGCCGCGCAUUGAAGAACUGGGGGCCGGCGUUGAGCGCGACAGAGCAGCCGGCGUCGUCCUUCUCCGCGGCGAGGUCAGGGCGGUAGACCAGGGCGUAGGGGAGGCACCCGAGCGUCCCCGUGUUGUGCACCCAGAAGUACCUCCCGCCAUGGUUGUACACCGUCUGGAUCGCCGACGCGAGCCUCUCCAUUAGAUCGGGGACGUAGGCCUCCACUUGGGCCGUGGUCAUGUUUUCUAGGUAGCCCAUGGCGAGGUCGUUGGCGCCGAUGUCGAAGGUGUAAAGCGCCUUGGAGACCAGGUGAUCUGGUUUGGGCAAGAUCGCUCGGUAGAUUCCACCUGCGUCGAUAUCGAGGAACCUCCGGUAAGAAAUUGCUAAAAGACAUCUAGAUGUGAGAUAACUAUUGCACAUCUAAGUCCUAUGUGAUUGACCUUACGUCGAGAUUCGUGUGAGUAUCUUUUUUACUUUUUACUUUUUUUUAUGCUUGAUUUAGCAUUUUAGAUGUGCGAUAAUUAUGUCACAUCUAGAUGUGUCCUAGACACACCCUUGCUACAAAAUAUAUAUCGAGGAGCUGGAUUUAAGUUUGAUUUUCACCUAUGUUGUUGUAGACGAAGCGGCUCCUGUUGAUGAACUGCUGGAAUUGCCAGAUCUGCACGUCCAAGGAAAUGGGGCUGUAUCCGGAGGUCCACAAGCUCCCGUUCACUCGUCUGAUAGUUCCAGCGGCGCUCGCGAAAUUGGCUCCCUGCGUGAAGUUGCUCCCUAGCGAAUCCAGAUACGCAUUCAGGUAACGCAGCCCCAGGCUUUGAGCUGCGGCACAUACGUGUCAGGGAAACAAUAUAGAAAAUCUCCAGUUUUGAGAUGUUGUAGGUAGAUGUGUGUACCCAUGAAGUCGAUGGUGAGGCGGCCGUCGCUCUGCCUCCCGGCUGGCAUGCCGAAGAAGGUCUGGCCGUAGGGCGGCUGCACCGCCGGGAAGNNNNNNNNNNUAGGAGUCGCCGAAGUUGAAGAUCGCCGGGAAGUCGCACGGAGAUUCAUCGGAGCGCACCCUCUCUAGUACCACCAGCAACACGACGAACGUGAUGAGUUUGCUGGUCGCCAUGGUGGUGCGGCGGCGAGCUCUCGGCCGGUGUCCCUGACGGUGAAGCGGCUGGGAGAGGAUUUAUAAUACACGCCGGCACCAGCAGGUCGUCAGAGUCCAGCACCCGUGUUGGACUGGCGGUUGGAAUAGCUACGUUUUGUUGAUAAGUAUCCUCCCCGUGUGAUGUUGAUGCACCACCCUCUAGAGAAUGACGGGUGAUCACCGUUUGCGUGGCACCUUAGGACAAGCAACUACGAGGCGUGCUUGACCCUUGAUCACUCUCUAGUGCUACAGUAUCUUGACGUUCGGUUCCAUGGUGAUGUGGCCAAUAUGCAUCCAUUUUUACGACAAAUAAUUCUGAACGGAUGAAAUAUCAUGUACAGUAUUUGACGUUAUCAUGAUGAUGAUGUGGCCAAAACCGUUAUUACUUCUGUCAGAGAACUUGCGCAGAACAAGGAAAAACGUGUGUGGGAGGGUCAGAGACACGUAUCUGAACGGUGACGUGGCCCGCCUAGUGUCCGUCAGCAGCAACGCGGUGUUUCGAGUGGAGCAUGUCGUCGGUGGUCUAGCUCGUGAGCGACCCGAUCAAGUAGGAGGAUUUCAAGUUCAAGAUCCGUGUGUUUACUGUUAGAGACUCACUACUCGCCCCGAUCUCUCGUUUGAUUUACUCAUGGAUACAGGUUAAAAUGUUGUUGUGUCACUAGUGGCUGGUGGCCCUUGUUUUAUGGUUGGCCCGCACAGUGGACGGUGGCUAAGAGCAUCCCUAAGAAACUCCGUAUAAUGCUCCGAUCUGUAAAAUAACUAUCGAAAUAUGGAUCGGGGAAGAAAUUGCUAUCAGACCAGACCCCGCAAACGCGUCCGAUCUGUAAAUUUUUUUGUCGGGGCGACAAAAAUUCGUCCUCAACCUUCAGAUUCACGGGGUGGGAGGCCGAUCCAAGCUCGUUCCUUAUCCGCAACGAGAUUUGGCACGAGAGAAAUUUCCGCACGGCCGUUCCCCGCUCCCCCUCCUCGACAACCAUUUCCCCGCCCACCGCGCGUUCUGGACCUUCUUCCCCGCCAUUCUUAGCCGGCGUGGAAGCCUCCCACCCGACGGAUCUCGUAAACGUGGAGGUCGCGCACGUGCAAUCAUGUCCGGCGGAUCUCGUUGCCGGCCAUGUCGCCCCCGACGUUGCCUAAGCCACCAAUGCGCCUGCCCACAAGUGGCAAGGCAACGUUGUCAUGCAGGGCGGCAUUCCGGUUGGCCCCGCCGGAAGGGAAGGCGCGCUGGGCGCCACCGCUGCUGCGUGAACUGCUUGGCCGCCUGCGCGGAAGAUGGGCAAGGUUUCGGGCGUGAAGCGAAAGAAUGUUCAUACGAAAAAACCGUCGUACACUCACUCCGUCCUGGUGAGACGUUCCCCGACGGUGCCUUUCUACGGCGCUGCUUCCACCGCAGGCGAGGUGUUCGAUGAAAGGACCGGAAGGUAUGCAUCUUCGCUCGCUUAUUUUUGCUUUGAUUUUUCGCCAUUGUGGUAGGUCAUGAUGUGCUGUCACUCAAUGUAGAGGAGGAUGCUUGCGUAUUAUGACGGCGAUGGUUUCUCGUUUGAAGUCGAAACCAAUAUCGCCGAUGAUUUCGGUGCUGGAGUAGGGACAAAUGCAAGCGAUGGAUUCAAGGGAGUCGAUGGAUUCAGAGGCGGCGAUGACCUCGAUGGUGCGGAGUGAAGAGCGACCCGGAUGCAUGAGGUCCUUUUGCGUUUGUCUUUUAAACUAUGCUUUCAUUUCACGCGCGAACUAUGUUUUAUUGUUAAAAUUUGAACUCAUUUGCCGGAACCGCUGUCAAAUUUGAACUAUGGUUUAUUGGAAGGUUUUCCGGUUUGCGGGUCGACGCGGCGGCGUCCGAGCAGAUCCCGCAUUGACGAUCCGUAUAAUAGCAUCUUCUGCGAAUAUCCUUUUUUAUGACCGUUUUGGGGAAUCUGCCUCUGUCUGCGUCUGUGCAGGUCCGUAAAAGCCGUUUUUCGCGAAGUGUGAACGACUUUUGCGGGUUCGGCUUUAUACGCGUUUUGCUAGAGAUGCUCUACCACCUCCCCCUUUUUAACCCGACUUAUUCCCCAGCCGUUGCCACAUAGAGCUUUCCAAGAUCCCGAGUUGCUUGAACAUUCCUUAUCGUGUCGAAAUCGCCAUGGCAGUUGUUGUAGUAGUAACUAUUUUUUUUUAGAAAAGGAGGAUUACCUCCGGCCUGUGCAUCAGCACGAUGCAUACAACCCCUUUAUUUAGCAAGCAAACAAAUAUCGGUCCAACAUUGCAGUGGUAGCUAUGGUCGAGGUCGACUUGAACAAGAUCAAAGGAGAAGCCGUCCUCGAUGUAGUAGUCACAGCCGUUGGGAACUUGCUCGAGGAUGCUGUCUAAAUAAAUAGGAAGGGGGGUACAAAGUAUAAGCACAAACUUUAGUGUGGUACCAAGUAUAACACAUACUACACUUUAUAAGGAGAAGGAAGAAUCAAAAUAUAUUAUACUUCCAGCAUGUUUUUCAUCUGUGCGCAAUUACAAAUUAAGAAUAAACUUAUAGCCUCACAACUUGGCUACGCGGAAAUACGCAUAGUUACUUAGUCAAACCAUAAACUAAGGAUGAGAACUAGGGUUGGAUCGUGGGAUUCUGAGAAAGAAAGUGAGAAGGGUGUGGUCGAGGGGUGGUUUUGGACUUCCAGGCCUGUUGAGCUGUGAUUUUCUUAUUUUUGCAUCAUGUGCAUGUUACAACGCUACACGUUACAACAUUAUAGCAAGGCAUAGCGUCCUAAUUAUGUGAUUAGCAUCGUAGCGGAUGAAUUUGUUAAAAUGUAGCAUCUUCUUUUCUAAUACGCUUUAACCAAAAUUGCGCGCUAUUUUUUUUCGUUCGACGUGUCAUAAUUUUUAUUAGCAUUCUUUCAAACCCUUAGGAAACAAUUCUUUGAUUUUGCUGUGAUGGAGUCAAGCAAACAAAUAUCUCGCGAAUUGCGGCGCUGAUGGAGGUGCAAGUGGCAGCCGCGGAGCUCGCCGCUGGCCGUUGGGGCGAGCGGCGGCGGUGGCGGCCAGAUGUUUAGGGUUUGCAUUCGAAGCGAUUUUGCAGAUGGUAUUGCGAGAAUGCCUGGUUGCCAUGAUCUGAUCAAAGAUUAUCUUGUUUUUUCUAACGGAACAUUUUGGUGCCCUGUAUCAAAUUUUCGAUCUGAAACUGAAAGAUCGACCGUACAUGCUUUUCUGCUUCAUUCGCUGUCAUAUAUGGCCAUCUCUAUUAUUGCUCGGUAACUUUGCAUUUCGCUGGAAGCAAUCUGCAGAAGGCUGGUGGGGAAAGGACCGUGGCGGCGGAGAGCUGCGACCGAGUCCGAGGCCAAGGCCGCGGCAUCGAAGAUCACGGUCAACUUAGAACCCAAGUUGCUGGAGUGCUCCGGCUGCUGCAGCCCAUUGGCUCCACCCAUUUUCCAGGUACCCAACAGGAGUACAGGACCUUGUAUUCCUUUGCUGAAUGCUUUCUGCAUUUUACUAGAUUCAGUUAUACCCUGCAGUUUAGGUAUGCUGGAUUAUUGACCAUUUGUAUAGUUUCUGAUACCAUCUGCAUGUUGAUGUAUAGUUUCUCCUACUUCACUUUCAGCAAAUCUUGCGACCGUCAAUUAGUAUGCUGCUUCUAGACUUCUGAUUCCUUUUCUUCUGAAUUCAGUACAACUGGUUCGAAUCUUACUAGUGAAGACAAUAAACUUAAAAUGUGGACAGAUUGUUCACAACUCAUUUAGUUAUGUCUCUGACAAGAGCAAUAUUGUUAUGACCGACACUACUUAUAGCCGGAGGAGGCCUAAUUGGCCCGUUUAGUUAGGGGCUUAGCCCAAGUUAUCUUAUUUUUAUUAGUAGUACUAGCAAAAGCGUCCGUGCGUUGCAACGGGAGAAAAAAAAUCACCAUCUUCAAUAACGAUGACCACAUUAUGUUCAUAUCUCAUCGCAUAAUUUCAAAAAUUUGUUCACAAAUGCAAGAAAAUAUUUCUUCUUUUAAUUUUAUUCACAAUUCAAAAGUUGAAAAAUGUUCAUAUAUUUUUUUUUAAAAUCAUGGUUGUCAAAAAACUUGGUAACUCAAAGAAUUAUUCUGAAUUUCAAUUUUUUUAAAUAUACUAUAAUAUUUCGAUUCACCCCGACAACUAAUUCUUCAAAAUUUACUCAGGUAUAUAAUCAAAAAGACUCAGAAGCAUUACCAUUUAACUGCAUACAUUCAAUCAUUCGUGAACAUUUUUAAAAUCGAGAUUUUUUUACUAUGUAUAAACAUUUCUUUAAAAUUCCAAACAAUAUUUUAAAUUACGAACUGUUUUCAAGUAUUUUCUUGUGAAUUGGCGAAUAAUUUAUUUAUUAAAAAUUAGCCAGCUUUUAUGUUGACCAGUGGGCAGUUCUACAACCAUUUGAAUUAAAACUAAAACUGAGCCAUCCACAUAGUUUUAGAACACAGAUGAAAACACACUCUUAAUUUCACAGAACGUUUUUUUGCAUAAACACCAAAAAUAAGAAUAACAGGAGGAUCACUCCCGGCUCCAUUUUCAUCACGAAGCCCAUGACCAUAGGCACCAACAGCAUCUCUUGAGAAGCAGUACUGAAAAUAUUACAAAACAGAAUCAUGGAUUCAUGAUGCAUCAAAGGCAAACAUCAGAGAUAGUAAAUCUUAUAGGAUCUGAACAGCAGCACCUCUUUAGAUGGAGACAGUUGGACGCUUCCCCCCUUGGUGGUAAAGAAGGCCAGAGGUAGCUGUCCAAGAUUGAUAUAUUGGUGCAGAGGAGCUAUGCUAAAUUUGUGGACAGGCGGUAACACGAAAUAGAAACAGAACGAAUGGGGCUGGAAUCCCCUACCUAUUUCAAUCUCUGCACACUGCACGGUAUGAAGAUCCAAACGAAAAUUACAGGAAUUAACUUUCUUUGCUGAGAAAUAUUAAAAUGCCAUAAGAAGCUGGUGGUGACCAGGUUCAGAUGGAGAGAACCAAGAAUCCCAUUGCAUUCAUAUUCAACCAAGAAGUGACCUUAAUGAUGAUAUGGUUUGCAGUAGAGAAUACAGAAUUCACACUUUGAGAGCAAAAAUUAGUGACUCAAAUACUGCAUCGUUGAAGCUCUUCAGAAAAUUGGUGAGCAGAUGAACCCACCGUUCUUGCCCCUUCUCCUCAUUUGUUGCUGGAUGCUAUAAGAAGAACACCACCUUGGCUGAAAUCUGCAUCAGGUCAAUUGCCAUGAAACUAUCUCCAUCGGGUCAAUUGUCCACAAAACAUCCAAGGUCGCCACCGAGUUCGCGGAAAAAGAAGCUCCGACUUCGUCGGAGGUAGAAGAUCAUCCGUUGAGCACUCCAAUGUCGCCUGCUGCGGCUACACGAGAGGUAUGUAUCACACCGACCACUGUAUUUUACACAAUGUUUCCUUGUUGAGUGUGAACGAAGAACAACACCAGGGCUGAUAUGCCUCCUGCAGCCAGUGAUUUCUGGCUUCAGUUCUUCAUGUAACUCAUUACUCCACCAGCUGCAAAAGGUAGUAGCACAAUGAUCAGUUGUUGGUAAAUGUUGCAACUUCCCGAGAUAAGUCAAUACUUUCAGCAUGCUUUCAGUUAUAACACUGUAAAAGGUUGCGGAACCUCAUAGUUCUAUAAGAUGGUUGAUGGAGCUAAAAUAAUGUCAGUGGUAUUUAGGGGGGCAGUAAUUGAGCUUGUAUUACUUACCUUUAUCCUACGGGGCUUCUUCUCUCUUAAGUAAUCCGGCUCAAUCAUGUUGGAAGUCUGCCCCAUCUUAGAGAAAAAGGGGUCUGAAUAUCGUUUCAAGGAGGCCCCAGCACCAGCAACAUCGAACCUGCAGAAUAAUCCUUGUGUGUAAUUACUGAUAACACAUCCAUGGUAUAUAUCCACACACAAAAAUAGAAAGCAUCCACAUAUAGUGUAGUUUUUAAGGAGGUAUGAGUUUUUGACACUCCCAUUUCUGCAAAUACCAUCUUAGCAUACUGCUUCAUCUUUCCUUGCUAGAGCUCAUUAUCCCUAAUCUCCCAGGUAACAUUGGAGGCGCCUGCAACUGAACUCUUGUUGAGCUCUCCUCUGACCAUAGGAAGCUGGUGACAUCUGAUUAUGUGUACUAAGUUGUGCUGCGGUAGACAUGCAUCAGUGGCUGAUCUUAUCCAAACUGAUACAGUACAAGCUAAUUGUGUUUGCUAUCGGCACUACACAGACCGGCAGGACAACCAACAUACGCACUCUGACGAACUGAAUGCAUUCAGAUCCUCUAUCCGCGCAAGGGGCGAGGGCGGCGAGGCUCCGGUGGCAGGUUGAUGGCGGAGAUGGUCUCCCCCGGACCGGAUCGGGGCGGCGGCGACGGAGAUCGAGGCAGAGGGCGGCGCGGUACAGGCGGCGCUUGGGGCCGGCGAGUGGAGUUGGCUGCAGGCCGGUGGCCGACGCGGGGUGGCUCGACUACGGAUGGUGGUUCCCCGGCGAGAUGCAUGCGAGGGACCGGCGGCGUGCUGCGAGGUCUCGAGCAUGGAGCGGCUCGUCGCCAUGAAGGAGCUCGGGAGGAUUGCGGGUUGAUUAUCAAAAACUAUGAGGACUUUUUUGCAAAAUGGCAGAAAACGAUUCGUUGUUACUUAAAACUGGACUGCGGGUUGAUUACCUAAAACUGCAAGGGCUUUUCUGCAAAACGACCGACGACGGACGACAGAAGCGCUGCGCGCUUUAUUAUUAGGAGAGAAAGUUAUAUAAACAGUUGUAAGACACCCUUUUGGAAUUAAGCAAUAAGACAUACUCCCUCCGUUCGGAAAUACUUGUCAUAGGAAUGGAUGUAUCUAGAUGUAUUUUAGUUCCAAAUACAUCCAUUUUUAUACAUUUGUGCGACAAGUAAUUCUGGACGGAGGGAGUAUUCUAUUGCUCGGCUUUCGGAGGAGCCGGAAUCCCUAACCCUAGUCGCCGCGUCUUCCAUCGCCGUUGCCUCUCCACCACGCGAGACGGCGCCCUCGCCCUUGCCAGCUUCCCUCCUACCCCUACAGCCUCCGGCCAAAACCCGGUAGGAUCCUAGCUCCUACCAGUUUGGUAUCAGGAAGCUUCGGUUCGAUCAUGUCUUCGCCGUCGCGCUCCACAUCCCUUCUGCUGCCGACCUCCACCACCGCCCCGCUCGCCACCACCUCCGCCGCCGCACCGCUUCCCGCUGUCCUCACCCCGGAGGAGCUUACAGGAGCGAUCCACUGUCGUGCAGGGGAUCCGACUCUACCUAGCCGGUCCCUACGGGCCACCGCGCCACCACCCACCGCCAACGGGCUGCUGCUGCUUUCGUGGCAGCCGCCGCACUCGCUGGGCCGUUGGAGCCGGCGCUUCAGCUUUCGCGGCCACCAGCCACCUCCUCCGGGCCGGGCCCCACCUCGACGCCGGGGGUCCCUCUUCAUCAACUCCACUUCCCGCCCUUGCCGUCGCCGCUAUCGUCCUGGGUAACCGGGACGCAGUCGGUCUACACGACGGCCUCGGCGCCGCCGUACAUCCAGUCGCCAUCGGCGCCACCCCCUAGUAAGGUGGACCCUCCAGCUUCGCUGAUCCUCAAACUGGCCCCGACGGGUACCCGGGGACGACCCCGCACUUCUCCGCGCCGACGAGCCCUACCAUCACGGCGCCCAUACCCAUACGCCACCGCGGUUCGCCAAAUUGGACUUUGCCACCUACGACGACACCGAGGACCCCCUGAACUGGCUCAACCAAUGUGACCAGUUCUUCCGAGGGCAACGGACGCUCGCUUUGGAACACACCUGUACUGAAUUCUUCUACCAGAUCGACAUCCUCCACAGAUUCUACUGUCACCUGGAAGAUUGUGCUGGUCUCUUGGUUCUACUUAANNNNNNNNNNGUAGUUCUACUGUAUAAUAUGACCAUCUAUUAUACACGAGACCAAACAGUUGAGCACAUGCCUUGUUGUUUCAGACCUUUGUUUGUUGGUUUCUAGUGGCCUCUAAGCGCAAAAUCACAUUUCAGGCUACGCAGUAGUGAUAAUUAUACCAUACCAGUAUGAUGCUACAUAGAUUAUUGAGUUAUUACUUUGGUUGAUUACAUCUAAUUCUUCAUAUAUAAUAUCAUCUAUUAUGGCCCACUUAGUAGUGAAAUUUACAGUUGGGUAAGACCAAGUGCAGUGUAUUAUGACUCAGUGUCUACUUUCUGUGUUACUAGGCUACUUCAUUCAUCUUAAUUAAGUUUUUUUGUUGUUUUCAUUUUUCAUGAAUCAUUAGGCUCUGCUUCAGCAGGCAAACAAGUUAGGCAUAUUGGACUUAUUUAUGGUAUCUAGCAUCCUUAAUGAAUCACUAUGUGUUGAAGUAGCCUAGUGAAUGUAAGGGUCUAGGUUUAACCCAUAACUUCUCUAAACAGUGUGCUGUAUUGUGUUAUCUAUACUGCUUUUGCUUUAGUUCUACAACUCUGCAAAGCACUACAUUCACCGGAUACAAAAUUCCAAUUUGUUUCGACUAUGAAAAACUUGUUUUGAUUAUAUUUUCUAUUUGGCCACGUGCAAUUUCUUAAAGGGCCAAAUGGCUAGUGAGGAAGAAAGGUUGCAUAUGGCUAGUGAGGAUACGGCUAGUGAGGAGGAACCAGAUAGGGCUAAUGAGGCUGCGGAUGAAGCGCCAAAAAGGGUUACGGAGGCCAAAGGACCGGAAACCCGGUGGAAUCCCGGUGUUGCAACACAAUUAAUUUCGAAGUUUCCAACCAAAAUGUUGAAAAUGCUUGAGCAGUUAAAGCUUAGUAAGAUGGCGGACAUGAAGGUAACAUUCCUUCAAUACAGAAAAACCUGNNNNNNNNNNUAUUUUGGACAGAUGUGUUGUUCAUCAAGACUCAAAUCAAACUGAACUUAAAAUAAGGAUGAUAAAUCAGCGUGGUUCAAUCCAAAAGUUGUUCAACAUAUUCUUGAGCUGACGCAAGACACUGAUAAGGAGUUAAAAGCUAUGUAGUUAGGCUCGUAGUUGCAAAGUACCCAAAAAAGACAAAGAAAAAGGCAAACACAAAUGUAAAAGAGGAGACAUCAGGCCACUGCCAGAGGAGAAGAAUAAUGGCAGAGCGAUCAUGAUGUCGGAGAACAUUGGUUUGUUGUUUGCACACUCUGAUGAGGAAGAUAUCAGAUCACAUGCUGAAAUAGAUAUGCUCGUCAGGCUUUACUUUGUGGCAGUGCAUGAUAGAAUGUUACUGCCAGAUACAGCAUCUUAUGUAACCAAAAGCGCAGUUGAAAAUAUAUAUCAUCUAGAAAAACUUUGUGAGCUUGACUGGGUACAUAUGGUCUUCAAUGCCUUGAAAAAAGCUUAUCUGACGAAGGACAAAGCUUAUAUGAGGUGAUGUGUGGAUGUCCUUUUGGUAAGUAGUACUAGCUACUGCAAGUAAUAAUUGUUCUCAUUUUGUGUCUAAAUUUAGAGUUAUUGGUUCACAAAUAGUUUUUUGCGGACUGCAUUGUGGAGAAUCCUGUGAGAAGGGAAUUAUCAGGGAGAAUCAAACACUAUACUGAUGACAUCCUCAGGAAACUUCUCGAAUAUCAGGAUAGGAAAAGUAAGUCUGGGGGUAAGAAAUUGUAGCAACUUCUUAUAAUUAUCGAAUAUCUUGAUGCAACUUAUAUUUCUCAAUGUCAUUUUGAGGAGAAGAACUUGAAGUCGCUAGAGGUAAUUAAUGUAAGUACAAACAAGUUUACAAAUUAUCUGUUACCAUUUUUAAUUAUUUAUUUAUGUUAUUUUCAGUUUAUUAGGUGGGAGGAUAGCACGUAGAGCGAACUGUAGAGGUGUUUGAGAAUGACAUGGUACAUAGUGCUUACGAAAAGCGUGUUUUAAAAAGAAGGCACGAUGGAAUUGUAGUAGAGUAUGUACCCGAGAAGAUAGUUGAGUCCGAGUUUAUAGACUGCUUCAAACUAGAAGGUCGUAGAGAUACUGCAUUUAAUAUGCGACUUGUGGUCAGAACAAUGGCGUGAUACAAUUGUCCUUCAGUAUUCUUCUGAUACAAUUGUGGACGCCGAGCCUGAUCUACGUUUUUGGAUAAGUACUUACAAUAAAAGAAUACUUAAGGAUAAUUGUAUCACGCCAUUUUUCUCACCACAAGUCGCAUAGUAGAUGCAGUAUUUGUGAGGUCAUACGACCUUCUGGUUUGAAGCAGUCCACAAACUCAGACUCAAUUAUCUUCUUGGGUCCAUACUCCAAUACAAUUCCGUCGCUCCUUCUUUUCAAAACACGCUCCUCGUAAGCACUAUCUACCAUGUCAUCCUCAGAUACCUUUACAGUUUCGCUGUAGGUGCUAUCCUCCCACCUAAUAAACUGAAAAGAACAGAAAGAAAUAAUUAAAAAAUGGUAACAGAUAAUUUGUAAACUUGUUUGAACUUACAUUAAUUAUCUCUAGCGGCUUCAAGUUUUCUCCUCAAAAUGACAUCGAGAAAUAUAAAAAGUUGCAUCAAGAUAUUCGAGAAAUAUAAUAAGUUGCUAUAGUUUCUUACCCCCAGACUUCCUUUUCCUAUCCUGAUAUUCGAGAAUCUUACUCAGGAUGUCAUCAGUAUGGAGUUUGAUUCUCCCUGAUAAUUUCCUUCUCACAUGAUUCUCCACAAUGUAAUCCGCAAAAAGUAUUUGCAAAUCAAUAACUUUAAAUUUAGACACAAAAUGAGAACAGUUAUUAUUUGCAGCAGCUAGUAGUACUUAUCAAAAGGACUGCCAUAGAACACCUCGUAUAAGCUUUGUCCUUCGNNNNNNNNNNNNNNNNNNNNNNNNNNNNNNNNNNNNNNNNNNNNNNNNNNNNNNNNNNNNNNNNNNNNNNNNNNNNNNNNNNNNNNNNNNNNNNNNNNNNNNNNNNNNNNCGCCUUUUUCUCUAUCUUUUUCUGGGUACUUUGCAACUACGAGUGUAAGUGCAUAGACCAUCUUGUCGUGUUCUUAUGUUACAUCAUGUGCAGCUUUGAACUCCUUAUCAGUGCCUUGCGGCAGGUCAAGAACAUGAUGAACAACUUUUGAAUUGAACCACGUUGAUUUAUCAUCCUUGAUUUUAAGUUCAAUUUGAUUCGAGUCUUGAUGAACAACACAUCUGUCCAAAAGCUCUCCACAGGUUUUUCUGUAUUGAAGGAAUGUUACCUUCAUGUCCGCCAUCUUAUUGAGCUUUAACUGCUGAAACAUUUUCAACAUUCUAGUUGUAAACUUCGAAAUUAAUUGUGUUGAAACGCUCGGGUUGCACUGGGUUUCCGGCCCUAGGGCCUCCGUAACCCUUUUUGGCGCUUCAUCCGCAGCCUCACUAGCCCUACCUGGUUCUUCCUCACUAGCCAUAUGCAGCCUUUCUUCCUCACUAGCCAUUUGGNNNNNNNNNNNNNNNNNNNNNNNNNNNNNNNNNNNNNNNNNNNNNNNNNNNNNNNNNNNNNNNNNNNNNNNNNNNNNNNNNNNNNNNNNNNNNNNNNNNNNNNNNNNNNNNNNNNNNNNNNNNNNNNNNNNNNNNNNNNNNNNNNNNNNNNNNNNNNNNUAGAGAUACAUUAAGGAUGAUACAUACCAUAAAUAAGUCCAGCAUGCCUAACUUGUUUGACUACUGAAGCAGAGCCUAAUGAUUCAUGAAAAAUGAAAACAACAAAAGAAACCUAAUUAAGAUGAAUGAAGUAGUCUAGUAUCACAGAAAGUAGGCAUUGAGUCAUAAUAAACUGCACUUGGUCUUACGCAAGUGUAAAUUUCACUAUUAAGUGAGCCAUAAUACACGAUAUUAUAUAUGAAGAAAUUAGAUGUAACCAACCAAAGUAAUAACUCACUAGUUUAUGUAGCAUCAUUCUGGUAUGAUAUACUUAUCACUACUGCGUAGCAUGAAAUGUGAUUUUGCGCUUAGAGGCCACUAGAAGCCAACAUACAUAGGUCUGAAACAACAAGGCAUGUGCACAACUGUUUGGUCUCGUGUAUAAUAGAUGGUCAUAUUGUACAAUGGAACUACUAGUUACCUAAACAAUUUAAGUUAACCAUGUUAAGUAGAACCAAGAGACCAGCACAAUCUUCNNNNNNNNNNAAGCAGAACAUCAUACAUAUGCUACAUAACAACAACAACGACCGCUUUCAAAGACUUCAACCGAUGCAAAAGGAUCACCAUUACAAAAACUCGGCUUAAUGGUUCCAUCACAAGGUAAAUAUGUCAUAGUACUUGUUCUAUGAAUGCGAGAGUGAAAUAAAGUAGGAAAAUUUCAUCGGGUUGAAAUUCAGACUUAAGCAUUGUGUCUCUUAGAAAACUAAAAAAAAGAGUAGUGUUGGCUAGUAAGAACAUUAAGCAAAUUUACAUAGAGUUCCGCGUGAAGGAAUCAUGGAAAUACAAAAGCUCAAGAAGCCAACAAUGUAAAACAAGGCAUGAAAUAACAAAGAUUGUGCAAGAUAAAAAUUUGAGUACCUAACGAAGACUGUGCAACAUGAAAGUUGGAGUGCCUGAUGGUCUACUCUAGUCUCUAAAACCGCGCUAAAUUAUGUCUGUAAAGAAGUUAUCCGAGUGAAUGUAAGGCUUGAGGUUUAAGCCAUAGUGAUUGAUUAAGAAUGCUACAUAUUGUGGAUAGGUCCAGCAUGCCUAACGGAAAGUUGGACGACGCCAUGCUUAUCUGAACAGUGCUAUCACCUUCCCACCGUUCCUCCACAUCCGAGGGGCCUACUGUCUAUAUGUUAAACCCAAACCCAAUGAGCACCUGCCAACGAGGAUCUGUUCCACGCAGAAUUUGGUACGAUUGCUCAAUUAUUCACAAACCAACAAAGUACAUGUAGUUUGGGUAGUUCCUUCAGUUUAAGAAGUUCCUUUGGUUUGAGAAUUCAUCGAUUGGUGAGGUGAGAUUGAUAGAUUUGUUAAAUCAAUGAAUCUGUUCAAUUGGUAUACAUAUUGGUGUUGAACCACACACACUUCCAGGACCAGGAGCAGCAAGAAUUUUUCAAAAAGGAUGACACCAUGAGCAAGAAUUUUUCAAAAAGGAUGACACCAUGAGCAGCAAGAACGAUCCUUAGUGUUAGUAACCAAACAAUUUGCAGAUCAAGGGAAGACAAGGAGGGCACCUUUUGGGCAAUUUGUCGAGCACCUUCGUGUUGCCUACACUGCGUCGAGCCGCUGCUCACUGCGAGACUCAGCCUGUGCCGAUCCUCCGCCCCGCCGAGCCGCUACUCACCAUGAGGCCAGUGCCGAUCCUCCGCCCCGCCGAGCCGUUGCUCACCACGAGGCCCGUGCCGAUCCUCCGCCCCGCCUGGCCGUUGCUCACCAUGAAGCCUCAGCCCGCUUCAGCCUUCGUUGACGCCGACUCGCGAGGCCGUGCGAAGAAUACGAAGAGAGGCAGGAGGGCGAAGAAUACAAAGAGGGGCGAGGAACAUUUAGUUAUGUCUCAAUACUGGAGAAGCAUUGUUCACAACUCAUUUAUUUAUGCAAACAUAUAUUUUCUCCCGCUUAAAUCUUUUAAGUAACUAGCAAAAUGGCCCAUGCGUUGUCACGGAAGAAAAAAAACAUAAUCUCCAAUGAUGGUGACUACAUUAUAUUCACAUAUCAUCGCUUGAUUUAGAAAUUUUGUGCACAAAUGUAAGAAAAUGUUUCUUCUUUUAAAUUUAUUCACAAGUUGAUGCAAUCUUUACAUUUUCAAAAAAUAUAUAUCAUGGUUGUCAAAAAUCUUGGUAACUCAAAGAUUUAUUCUGAAUUUCAAGAAUUUUGUUUAGAAAACAUAUAAUAAUAAUCCGAUCCAUCCAACAGUUAAUUUUUUAAAAUCCACACAGGUAUAUUGUCACAAAGACUUAGAAGCAUUAAUGUUUAAUUACAUACAUUAGAUAUUUCGUGAACAAUUUUACAAAUAUGGAAAGAAUUUUAAAAUCGAGAAGAUUUUUUACAAUUUACAAACAUUUACUAAAAAUUGUGAAUAUUUUUUAUAUUUCGAACGAGUUUAAAUAUUUUCUUUUAAUUGGCGACCAAUUCAAGAAAAGACGAACAUAAUUUUUGAUGUUGGAGGAUUUUAUUUCAAAUUCACAAACAUUUUUUGAAACGCAUGAACUUUUCUGAAUAAAGAAACAUUUUUAUAAAUCAGUAAUAUAUUUAUUAAAUUUAUGGACAUUGUUUAGGAAUUUGAAAAAAAUAUAUGGAAAUCCAGCGCUUUUUUGAAUCCUAUUUUUAAUUCAAAAUAAAAUUUCGUCAGCAUUUUAAUUCAAAAUUCCUAUUUUUUAAUAUGCAAAAGUUUUUGUAGUUCUAAAUUAUUUAAAUUCUAAAUAAACAAAAAUGGAACGAAAAAUUUUAAAUUAAAAAAAGAAACUAUCAAAACAGGCAUUAGCUAUUUUUAAAAUUUUGUGACAUUUUUUAAAUGCAUUAACAUAUUUUAAAUUAGAAAACAUUUUUUUUAAAUGCCUUUAAUAAUUUUUAAUACAUGGAAUUGUAUUUGAGAUCAUGGACUUUUCUUAUUGUACAAACAUUUUUCUAAAAUUGCAAACAGUUUUUGAAGUCACACACAUUUUAAUUUUUUAAAUAUGUUGAUUUAUAAUUUUCAGUUUAUUAAAAUUUUAAAGAUUAUUUGAAGUUCUAAAUUAUUGAAAAUAAAAAAAGUAAAAUGGAACUGAAAAUAAAUAAAUAAAUGGAACUAAAAGCAGGCGCCUGUCCAUGGGCCGGCCCAUACGGUGUUCUGGAUAUUCUCCCAGCGUGCAGAGCGUAAUAUAGGAGAUUUUUACAUGGGCCGGCCCAGUCCAAGAUUUUUUUGCUUUGUGAAACGUUUUCUAUUACUUACCGGUGGCAUGGUGGGUAAUUUAUGCAAACUUUAGGGGUAAUUUCCAAAACGGACGACCAGAAACCGUAUUUGCUUUAUUAUUAUUAUUUGGGAGAGAUAAAACGUCCCUUUUAAAAAAAAAAAAAAUUCUUCCGUGGCUUUCUGAUUGCCAUGACCAAGAAUAUGUGAUGCAUUACUAGUAUGUUUGUGCACUUGUCAUGUUUUUGACAGUUUCUGUAAAUACCGUAUGUUUCUGUUUCUCUCUUUUUGUCUGCAGUGUACAAAUGGCCACAUCACAUGCUCAGAGUGUCGCACCAAUGCGGAGUACACUUGCAGCUUGUGUGUGGAGCCUGCCAAACGCCCGCUGCGGCAUCAUGGAGCGCGUACUUGGCAGCAUGACCACGCCGUGCUCGUUCCGGGAGUUUGACUGCUCCGCUACGAACCCGUUUACGGAGAAGCUGACCCAUGAAGAAUCCUGCCUCCACGCUCACAUACCCUACUGUCCCAUCCCCUACUGCCGCCUCUACGCCAACCAUGGCUGGUCCCUGCACGAACACAUCGAGACGGAACACUACUUGAUCCCAUACGGCGAGGUCACAGCCGGCAGCCUUUCCCCGGUGAUGGUGUCCGACAAUGAGCCGGUGUGCCUGGUGCUUCUUGACUCCACGACGGUGUUCCUGCUGGUGGUCGAGCGGACAAUGCCAUCGGGGUGCGCCGUGUCGGUGGUCCAGCUCGUCAGUGAGCCGGUCAAGAAGAUGGAGGAGAAGGAUUUCAAGUACAAGAUCCAUUUCAAGUACAAGAUCCAGGUGCGUAUGCGAGCAGGCGUCCUCUCUCUGUCCGGCGAGACGCAGAGCAUUGGGCGGCUGAUGAGGCCUUACCAGGCCACCGCGUCGCUGUUCGUCUCCGACGCAGUGUGGUGUCCCCGGUAUUCCGUUGAGUUGGCAAUGAGUGUAGACAAGCUGCAUGCCAUUGAGUUGGCAAACCUAUCCCAUCUUGUAGAAGAAUUCAGUACCGCUGGCACCUGGAAGAUGUCGAUCUGACACCUGGAGAAUUUAGUCCUGCGCCUCUGCCAUCUGGAGGAUGUCGAUUAGCUCUGAAUACCUCGUGUAGUUUCUCUGGCGAUAGUUUGGUGAGGACUUGACCGUGUCGGAGUGGAAUGUGGAUAGGGUUUUCUCAAUCUUCUAACUGUCGGUAACCUCAGUACCGCACAUCUGAAGAGAUGUACGAAUCCGGUGCAUUGUACUCCCCAACCGUCUUAAAGUCUGCGAACCUCAGACGGAUCCACUCCGCCUCUGCAUGUGGCUUGACGGUGUACUUCAGCCUCUCAAACCGCUGCUUAAGAGCGGUCCAAAGGCCAGAAGCACUCCGCUCAAUCAUAUACUUGUCUUCCAGAGUAGGGCAAAGGUGAUGACGGAGGAAAUGGAGAGCCUGGGCAUUUUCUGGCGUGAACCUGGGUGAGUUGGGGGGGGGGGGGGGNNNNNNNNNNNNNNNNNNNNNNNNNNNNNNNNNNNNNNNNNNNNNNNNNNNNNNNNNNNNNNNNNNNNNNNNNNNNNNNNNNNNNNNNNNNNNNNNNNNNNNNNNNNNNNNNNNNNNNNNNNNNNNNNNNNNNNNNNNNNNNNNNNNNNNNNNNNNNNNNNNNNNNNNNNNNNNNNNNNNNNNNGGAAACUCCCUGUUGACGAUUCCGGUCAUCUGCAAUUGAUGCAAAAAAAUAAUGAGAUUACAGCACAUAAUCUUUUGCAUAAAUGCGAUGUAGAAAAACUUAUUCAAUAAAAAAUGACGUUUCAUUAUUUAAUACAUUUUUAUUAUAUGAUUUACUUAAUGAUUAAAGUGCUAAACAAUUGAUCUACAGCAGUAAAAUCAUAUAAUGAAGUCAUGUUAAAUGAGAUAGUAUGUUACGCGUAGCUAAUACGAAAAAAAUAGUUCGAAAAACAAAUUUCCGGGCUUUUUUUUAAAGCCAGGAUAUACGUUUUUACGAAAAAAAAAAUGGGCAACCAGCCCAAUCAGUCUACUGCCAGCCGGCCCGACCCCCUUUUUUUAACUAGCCCGACACCCACCCCUUUAUUUUUAUUAGCCCCUCACGCCGGUCUGGCCAGCCAAACAGCAGCCCAUGGGGGCGGCGGCCGAGCCCACCAAGGCCCGGGGGCGAGCCGACCCAUCAUGUAGGGCGACGCUAGGGUUUCCCUUCGCGAUGUUUGUGUGAACGAGGUUGGCUAGGGCGGCGGCUGUGGCAAGCCAGCGAGCCGGCAGCGCACCACGAGGCCACCGGGGCGCGGUACGGCCACCAGGGCACAAUGUGCAUGCGAGGCAGGAGCGGCGGAAGCCGAGGCUAGCAUGGCGCGGCGCGGCCAAGGGGCCAGACGGCGGCCGAGGCCAGCAGGGCGCGGCACGGCCAAGGGGCCAGAUUACGGUCGCGGCCAGGCAGCAUCGNNNNNNNNNNNNNNNNNNNNNNNNNNNNNNNNNNNNNNNNNNNNNNNNNNNNNNNNNNNNNNNNNNNNNNNNNNNNNNNNNNNNNNNNNNNNNNNNNNNNGGCAGAUGGAUGUCAAAACGGCGUUCCUUAACGGUUUCCUUAAGGAAGAGAUGUAUAUGAUGCAACCCGAAGGUUUUGUCGAUCCUAAAAAUGCUGACAAGGUGUGCAAGCUCCAGCGAUCCAUUUAUGGACUGGUGCAAGCAUCUCGGAGUUGGAACAAACGCUUUGAUGAGGUGAUCAAAGCAUUUGGGUUUAUACAAGUGGUUGGAGAAUCUUGUAUUUACAAGAAAGUGAGUGGGAGCUCUGUGGCGUUUCUAAUAUUAUAUGUGGAUGGCAUAUUACUGAUUGGAAACAACGUAGAGCUUUUGGAAAGCAUAAAAGGUUACUUGAAUAAAAGUUUCUCUAUGAAGGACCUGGGAGAAGCUGCUUACAUUCUAGGCAUUAAGAUCUAUAGGGAUAGAUCAAAACGCCUGAUAGGAAUUUCACAAAGCACAUACCUUGAUAAAGUUUUGAAGAGGUUCAAAAUGGAACAGUCCAAGAAAGGGUUCUUGUCAGUUUUACAAGGUACGACAUUGAGUAAGACUCAGUGCCGAGCAACUGAUGAGGAUAGAGAGCAUAUGCGCUCCGUCCCCUAUGCUUCAGCCAUAGGCUCUAUCAUGUAUGCGAUGCUGUGCACUAGACCAGAUGUUAGCCUGGCCAUAAGUAUGGCAGGCAGGUUCCAGAGUAAUCCAGGAGUGGAUCACUGGACAGCGGUCAAGAAUAUCCUGAAGUACCUGAAAAGGACUAAGGAGAUGUUUNNNNNNNNNNNNNNNNNNNNNNNNNNNNNNNNNNNNNNNNNNNNNNNNNNNNNNNNNNNNNNNNNNNNNNNNNNNNNNNNNNNNNNNNNNNNNNNNNNNNUCCCCCCUUGGACUCGGCCGACCCCCUUGGGGCUCCUUGAGCCCCAAGGCAAGGUCCCCUCCCUCCCACCUAUAUAUACGGAGGUUUUGGGGCUGAUUUGAGACGACUUUUCCACGGCAGCCCGACCAAAUACCUCCACGGUUUUUCCUCUAGAUCGCGUUUCUGCGGAGCUCGGGCGGAGCCCUGCUGAGACAAGGUCAUCACCAACCUCCGGAGCGCCGUCACGCUGCCGGAGAAUUCUUCUACCUCUCCGUCUCUCUUGCUGGAUCAAGAAGGCCGAGAUCAUCGUCGAGCUGUACGUGUGCUGAACGCGGAGGUGCCGUCCGUUCGGUACUAGAUCGUGGGACUGAUCGCGGGAUUGUUCGCGGGGCGGAUCGAGGGACGUGAGGACGUUCCACUACAUCAACCGCGUUCACUAACGCUUCUGCUGUACGAUCUACAAGGGUACGUAGAUCACUCAUCCCCUCUCGUAGAUGGACAUCACCAUGAUAGGUCUUCGUGCGCGUAGGAAAUUUUUUGUUUCCCAUGCGAUGUUCCCCAACACAUUCCUCAAUGCAAUUUCUCAGAAGGUAAUCGAUCAAGAAAGUCUAUCAGGGUUACAGAUUGAUGUGGUCCAAUGUUUGGUCAGCUUUGAGUUGUUGUUCCCGCCAUCCUUCUUCAAUAUAAUGACACACCUCCUAGUUCACCUAGUCGAAGAGAUUAGAAUUCUCGGUCCUGUGUUUCUACACAAUAUGUUCCCCUUCGAGAGGUUCAUGGGAGUCUUAAAGAAAUAUGUUUGUAACCGUGCUAGGCCAGAAGGAAGCAUCUCCAAGGGCUAUGGAACAGAGGAGGUCAUUGAGUUUUGUGUGGACUUUCUUCCUGACCUUAAGCCGAUUGGUGUUCCUGAAUCUCGGUAUGAGGGUAGGCUGACAGGAAAAGGCACACUAGGAAGGAAAGCAAAAGUAUGUAUGGACAGAAAUUCUUUCUCUCAAGCACACUACACAGUUCUACACAAUUCCACCGUGGUGGCUCCGUAUAUCGUGAGACACAAGAAUAUUCUACGCUCCGAAAACCCGGGGAAGGCUGACCCUUGGAUUAAAGGGGAACACGAGAAGACUUUCGGCAGUUGGUUGCAGACACAUCUCAUGAAUGACGACACCGUUGGAGAUCAGCUGUACUGUUUGGCCAGGCCACCAUCUUCGACUAUAUGUACUUUCCAAGGGUAUGAGAUAAAUGGGAAUACAUUUUACACGGUUGCCCAAGAUAAAAAGAGCACCACCCAAAAUAGUGGUGUCCGCUUUGAUGCAACAGACGAGAAUGGGCACUGUUUGGAAACAUAUUACGGGUACAUAGAGGAGAUAUGGGAACUUGACUAUGGACCUACUUUUAAGAUCCCUUCAUUUCGGUGCAAAUGGGUGAAGCUGACAGGAGGCGGGGUAGUUGUAGACCAAAAGUGCGGCAUGACAACAGUGGAUCUCAAUAAUCUUGCGUACAUGGACGAACCAUUUGUCCUAGCCAAUGAUGUCGCUCAGGUUUUCUAUGUGAAGGACAUGUCUACAAAAACGAGACAAAGAAAUCAGCAAAAGAAGAUAUCGUCCGAUGAGCCAAAACGCCACAUAGUUCUUUCAGGGAAAAUAAACAUCGUGGGAGUAGAUGACAAGACAAACAUGUGAGUAGAUUAUAAUAAGUUUCAUGAAAUUCCGACCUUCAAAGUGAAAACUGACCCAAACAUCCUAGUGAAUGAUGAAGAUUCUCCAUGGCUACGACCCAGAAGAAAGCAGAAAUAAUAGAUAGGAAUAUUGGUGCAAUAAUGUAAUAAUGCAUUAAACCUUUUAUGUAAUACAUGUAUGGAAUGUACUAAACCUUUUAGUUUUGAAUUAUUUAUUCAAUUUCAAACACUUUUCAUUAUCAUAAUUUUGUCAAAUUCUCAAAUAUGCAAAAAGAAUUUUAAUAAACAUAGUUUUUAAUUGAAAAUAACAAAAUAGUUAAUAGUUUGGAUAGUCAAAAUAAUUAAUUUUGAAAAUAGAAAAUAGUUUUGAAUUAUUUAUUCAAUUUCAAAAACUUUUCAUUUUCAUAGUUUUGUCAAAUUCUCAAAUAUGCAAACAGAUAACUAUUUAUAUUCUCAAAUAUGCAAAAACAAAUAAAAUAAGAAAAAAAAAUGAAAUCCCUUUGUAAUAGAUGAGUUCUCGUUCGAAACCCUCAUACUUCGAGCGAGAUCGUCUGUUUUGUACACGAAGUGCAUCCAGUUUUUGUCGUAACCCUCUCCACUUUUUAGCACAUGCUAUGUGGCUGAAAUGAUGAUACCAUGCCAACUUUCAACAUUUUCACAGUUUAUUUGUAGUGCUUUCCAAUUUUAGGGUCAACUAGCUCAAAAAAAAAGUAAAUGCACGAAAAAUACCAAAUGAAGUCAUAAAUUGUUGAAAUUAUGUGAUGUGCCUUUGAAUGGUGCAUUUUGAACACACAAAAAGUAUGGAGUUCAAAUAAGUUCAAAAAAAUGAAAUCCCUUUGUAAGAGACGAGUUCUCGUUUGAAACGCUAAUACUUCGAGAGAGAUUGUCCGUUUUGUACACGAAGUGCAUCCAGUUUUUGUCGUAGCCCUCUCAACUUUUUAACACAUGCUAUGUGGGUGCAAUGAUGAUAUCAUGCCAACUUUCAACAUUUUCAGAGUUCAUUUGUAGUGCUUUUCAAUUUUAGGGUCAACUAGACCAAAAAAACAAAAGUAAAUGCACGAAAAAUACCAAAUUAAGUCAGAAAUUAUUGAAAAUUUGUGAUGUGCCUUUGAAUGGUGCAUUUUAAACACACAAAAAGUAUGGAGUUCAAAUAAGUACAAAAAAUGAAAUCCCUUUGUAACAGAUGAGUUCUCGUUCGAAACCCUGAUACUUCGAGAGAGAUUGUCCGUUUUGUACACGAAGUGCAUCCAGUUUUGGCCGUAACCCUCUCAACUUUCUAGCACAUGCUAUGUGGGCGAAAAUGAUGAUACCAUGCAAACUUUCAACAUUUUUAGAGUUCAUUUGUAGUGCUUUUCAAUUUCAGGGUCAACUAGCUCAAAACAAAUAAGUAAAUUCACGAAAACUAUCAAAUGAAGUCAGAAAUUUCAUAAAGUUUUUUUUGUUAAAAUACUUAAUAGAAAACAAAAAAAAAGUCAACUAAAAAGAAUCAACUAAAAUAUUAACUAAAAUGAAUGAGUUAAGAAUAAUUUACUAAAAUUUUCAAAGUGCUUAUUUGUUGGAAAGAAUCAAGUAAAACAUUAAUAAAAAGAAACAAAAAAAGAUCAACUCAAUAGAAAACUAAAAUAGAAGAGAAAAAAAUAUUGAAUAGCAAAGAAUUAAAAUAUAAACUAGGACUAAAAAUUAUUAAAGUAAAAAAAAAUGCCGCCUAUUGGGCCAUCACGGCGUGCAUACGACUAGAAAACCCUACCCGACAGGUGGGCCAGGAUGAAGGCCCGCGGGCCCAAUAGGCCCAACAGGCAGCGAGAGGAGAGUUAGGCUCAUAGCCUGCAAUAGAGAGAAGCUCAAUUGAGCAAGGCGCGGCAGUGCUUAUAAAGCACUGACAGCGUCCCUCGCUAGGCGAGGUGGGACUAAAGGUUGCCCUGCGUCGCACCGGAGCCACCCCAGGUCUUUAGUCCCGGUUCGGGGCUCGAACCGGGACUAAAGACCACCUUUAGUUCCGGGUGGAGCCACGACCCGGGACUAAAGCCNNNNNNNNNNNNNNNNNNNNNNNNNNNNNNNNNNNNNNNNNNNNNNNNNNNNNNNNNNNNNNNNNNNNNNNNNNNNNNNNNNNNNNNNNNNNNNNNNNNNGUCAUCAUCUGUGUGAGGGCACCCAUGGUCCUCAGUUUAUGGUGUCUGAGUCUCUCGACAGCCACUCGUCGUUAAUAUUGUUCUGGACUGCUGCAAGUUCACUACCCCCUUCGUCCCAAAAUUCUUGUCUUAAAUUUUUCUACGUAUGAAUGUAUCUAGUCACGUUUUUGUAUUUACAUACAUCCAUUUCUAGACAAACUUAAAACAAGAAUUAUAGGACGGAGGGAGUACUUCACUGCAGUCGACUAUCUAAUUUUUCUUUGUAAGAAAUCGAUACCAGAACUUGCGCACGCACUUGCCUGGUUUCUACACUACUAGGGCCAGGUCAAUGGCAUCCGGAGGCUUGACAUGCGUGUCCUGAAAUUUUGCCAUAAAUUGGGCCUCUAAAUCGUCCCCGUACCACUCGAAUUCAGCGGCAUGGAGUGCGGCAGUGUCAAGUUGAGCCUUUAAAUAUUAACGGUAGGUAUUUUAUGGCAUGCAAGUCGUCGCCAUCUGCUAUGUUGAUAGCGAGGGUAUAGUCUUCUAUCCAUAUAAAGGGAUCUGUUGAUCUGCCAUAUAACUUGAUGUUAACGAGCUUGAAGCCAGGUGGAACUUGUCCGCCAUUACUUUGUCUAAUUCCAAAAUUUUAAUCUGGUCACUUCUCCGAACAAUUCAAACAACUCUUAUCAAUACUAACUAAAAGCAACAAUCAUAAAAGUUUCUUGGAGAAAAAAGAUGAUUCUCUAGGAAAUUUUAAACAUUGUAGAUUUAGGGAAAAAAAAGCUAGGAUGCUUUUUUUAGAACAGGAGUCUCACCUUCGGUUUUUGAACCAGAGAGAUUCAUACGGCCUCUUUAUUAAAACAAUGAACAAAUAGUCUGCAAUCCAAUACAAGCUUACGAAGAAGCUCCGACAUAAAUUAAAAAAUAAAUAGCCACAACCGGCGUAAAAUAGGAUGAAAAUCCUAUCCACCUAUUCUAUUAUUGUAUCAUCAUCCAAACCGGUUGUAGAUAUCCUCAGGUACCAUUUUUCAUCGGGUAGAUCCAGUAACCAAAGACUCCCUGUUCUUCGCAGGAGUGAGUAACGACCAUAUACGGAUCAAAGAAGUUGCCCUGUACAAAAUCUGCCAAAAAUUGGCAUGAUUUUGCCUGUUAAAGACCAUGUCAUUUCUGCUAUUCCAUAUAGCCCAAAGUAACACACAUACUCCUAUGCAAAUAUGUCUUGUCGUAUAAAUGUCUACUCCAUCUAGCCUCGUCCCAAACAACGUGUGAAUGUUAUUUGGAGGUGUGAUAUUAAAGGCUAUACGAAUGGAUCUUCAAAGAUUUUUUGCUAAAUGGCACUCGAGAGAGAGGUGUUUGACAGUCUCAAGUUGAUCACAUAAGCUACAUCUUGUGUUUCCCGCCCAAUUAUGCUUUGCCAAACUAUCCUUAGUGAGAAUCACUUCCUUAUGAACGAACCACAUGAAAAAUUUCAUUCUUCAAGGGACUUUGAUCUUUCAAAUAUGAAUCUAUUUGGGAAUUGAUCUAGAGUCAAUGAGGUCCAAGUACAUCGAUUUCACCGAAAAGAUGUCAUUCUUAGAUAGUUUCCAAUGAAGUGUAUCAGACUCAUCCGAUAUAUUAACCUCCAUCAGCCUCUUGACUAGAUUAAGCCAAACCAACCAUCGAUCUCCCGACAGACUCCUUCUAUUAACUGUAUGUUUGGAGGAACAUAUUGUAAGACAGUAGCAACGUAGGCCUCCUUACGCUGCACAAUAUUAUAUAGAGCCGGAUAUUGUGUGGCUAGCAGCGUCUCCCCCAACCACGCGUCUUCCUAAAACCUCGUAUUCUCACCAUUACCAACGAUAAACUUAGACCUAUGGAAGAAAGAUGCUUUCAUUCUCAUUAGUCCCUUUCCAAAAGGGUGAAUCAUUGGGUUUCAAAGUGACCCGAGCAAGGUUUUAGCAUGCAAGUACUUAUUUCUCAAAAUUUGUAUCCACAUGCCUUCCGACUCUAGAGACAGUCUAUACAACCAUUUGCUUAGUAGACAUUUGUUCUUGACCUCUAAAUUCUCAAUCCGAAGACCUCCUUGCUCUUUGGGUCUUAGAUAACAUCCCAACGAGAAAGUCUAUAUUUUCUUUUGACAUCAUCACUCUGCCAAAACAAGCGGGAUCUAUAGAAGUCCAACCUUUUUCGUACCCCAAGAGGUAUCUCAAAAAAGGAAACAAGGAACAUUUGGCAUGCUUGUGAGUACUGAAUUAAUCAAGACCAGCCUACCUCCAUAAGACAACAGCUUGUCCUUCCAGCAACUCAGUUUUUUCUCGAACCGGUCCUCAAUACAUUUCCAUUCCUUGUUAGAUAACUUCCGAUGAUGCAUUGGUAUGCCUAGAUAACUGAACGGCAAGCUACCUAAAGCGCACCCGAACAGUUGUUUAUACGUAUCCCGCUCUUCUUUGGCUUUCCCAAAGCAGAACAGUUCACUUUUAUGAAAAUUUAUCUUCAGACCGGGCAACUGUUCAAACAAACAAAGAAUCAAUUUCAUAUUUCUCGCCUUUGCAACAUCAUGUUCCAUAAACAGAAUCUAGGAUGUGACAGCUGCUUCAAUGGUUCCACCUUGCUUAGCUACUUCUUGCAUCUCUGACGGAAAGGAGACGAGGGGGUGAGGCCGUGGAGGAUAUGGGAGCGCGCGGCACAGGGGACGUCGGGGCUGACAAAUCCUAGUUCGGGCUCCAAGGAUCUGGUUGUCGGCUAGACGAAUCGGGAGGGUACGGUGGUCACCUCUGGUCUACAAGAGAUGGCGAGGAAGUCGGGAAGAGAAAGCGGCACGUUCAAACUCAGUAUAAUUUUACAUCGAGUACAGUGGCUCACUUUGUGCUUCCAUUCGAACUGAUUAUGUGAUAUUUUUCUCUCUCUUCUCUAUUUCCACUUGAGAACAGAAAUCAUAUUCUUCCACAAGAUAACAACAAUACAAAUAUAUAUAUAAGAGUGUUUAGAUCCCUAUUUACUGAUCUAAAUGCUUUUAUAUUUCUUUACCGAGGGAGUACUAGUUUGCUUCUCAGUGCAGAAGUACAAGUUUUCGACAACCAAUUUAGGCAUCAUCAUUGUUGCAAACAAUGAUGAUGAACCACCGGCCGGUAGGGAGUUUGGUGAUCCGGCAGGGCACACUCCUUAUAUAUAUACCGCCUUCCUACAGCUUCUAUCCAUUCAAACUACAUAACCACAGAAAGCAAAGUCAAACACAGGGUGGUUUAGUUAUGGAAAACAGAGAAAACAUCGUGGCUUGUAGGAACCCAACUGCUGGUGACGACGAGGAAGCGACGUGGUCUCAUGCAUGGGGCCUCAUCUCGGGCUUCGCCGUCUCCCUGACCCUGAAAACGGCAGUGGAGCUCGGCCUCAUUGACGCACUCACCAACGCCGCCGGCCGCGCGAUGACGGUGGACGACCUUGCCGCGCAACUCCCGGCACCGAACAAGGCCCAGGCAGCAGCCUCGGUGGACCGGCUUCUCCGGCUCCUCGCCGCCUUCGACGUCGUGCGUUGCUCGACGGAGACGGGUCCUGACGGUGAGGCGGUCCGGAAGUACACUCCCGCGCCGGUGUGCCGGUGGCUCACCAGCAACCACAGCGAUGGGUCGCUGGCCCCCUUGGCCUUAUUCGCCGUCGACCAGGACUACUUGCCGACCUGGUAAGUGUGCGCUCCAUCACUUCGCCGAUGGCUGACUGCCAUGCUAAUUAAGCAUUAGCAUCCAUGUAGGAAUCAACUGGGUGCGGCAGUGGUGGGCGGCGUUCCACCGCCGUUCGAGAGGGCGCACGGGGUGCCGCUGUUUCAGUACAUGGGGAAGAACCCACGGCUAAGCGGGGUGUUCAACCAGGCCAUGUUCCACAUGUCAGUCAAGGUCAUCAGCAAGAUGGUCGAGCGCUUCGACGGCUUCGACGGAGUCGGCGUCCUCGUCGACGUCGGCGGGGGGACGGGCGCCGCCCUGGAGAUGAUCACCUCCCGCCACAAGCAUAUAAGGGGCAUCAACUUUGACUUGCCGUACGUCAUCUCGCAGGCGCCGUCUCUCCCAGGUAAAACAUUUAUGUUAUCUUAGUAACUAUUUAUCCUAUUUCUUAUUGUUCUUCACUUCUUGUGUUCCAAACAGAUUUAGCUUAGCACUUCUUUGAAUUUUGGCCGCAGGUGUGGAAAAUAUAGGUGGUAAUAUGUUUGAGAGUAUACCCACUGGAGAUGCAAUUUUUUUGAAGGUAUAUAUGCUGACUUAUACUCAUUUAAAAAAGUAUUAGUUUUUUUAGAUGUUACAAUUUUAUUCACUCAAUCUCCGUAUUGUUAAAAAAACAAUUGGCAUACACUGUAUUGUAAAGUGUGUUUAAGUCCGACAGACAAGUAGGCAGAACUAUGUAAAAUAAUUUGAACGAAUAAUUAAUACUAGUAAUAAAGCUCAUUCUAUGGACUGAACACUUUUAUGUGCAGUGGAUACUCCAUCUACAGAAUGAUGAUGCUUGCAUCAAGAUCCUCAAGAACUGCCACCGUGCUCUUCCAGCCAGCGGUAAGGUGAUCGUCGUGGAAAUCGUCCUGCCGGCCACCACGGAGGCGACUCGUGAGGCGCAGGAUAUGUUCCUUCUAGACGUCAUCAUGUUCAACAACCUUGAGGGUGGAAAGGAGAGGACUGAGCAGGAUUUUGUAAACAUGGCUAGGCUCUCUGGGUUCGAUGGUGCCUUCCGUUCCACCUACAUCUUCGGUAACUUCUGGGCCCUCGAGUUCAACAAGUAGCUGCCAUGGUCAUGCAGACUGCAGCAACUCCGAUAUGGAUAUAUCUACGCCAUGCCUGAAUCGUUGUUUCUAUUAAUCUCUUCUCCUGUAUGUAUUACUUCGACUGUAUCCUUGUUUACAUUAAUGUUGUAUAAGCUGGGCAACAGUACCUAUUUGUAUUCGCGCAAUAUGAUGUGAACUUAUUUGUAUUCUCCUCGGCGUGAGGAAGGACGUUAUAAUAUUUAUGCUUCCUCCUACAAUAAUCAGCUCAUGGAAACGAUCCAUUUGUUCUGACCAUUGCUGCAUUACUUGUACUACUUGGCGGAGCCAGGUAGAAGCUGUUGGGGGACCAAAGGGUAAAACACAAGCGUUUAAGGGUGUAAAAUGCUAAAAAAAUCUCACCUAAGCUCUUCUUAAAAAAAMYUUGUAGUUGUAUAACGUUGAGGGGGUCAUAGAGGAUUGAGUAGUUAAACAAUUAAGUAGUUAUGUGAGGACUCUCUCUGAANUUCUUGUGUUCCAAACAGAUUUAGCUUAGCACUUCUUUGAAUUUUGGCCGCAGGUGUGGAAAAUAUAGGUGGUAAUAUGUUUGAGAGUAUACCCACUGGAGAUGCAAUUUUUUUGAAGGUAUAUAUGCUGACUUAUACUCAUUUAAAAAGUAUUAGUUUUUUUUAGAUGUUACAAUUUUAUUCACUCAAUCUCCGUAUGUUAAAAAAACAAUUGGCAUACACUGUAUUGUAAAGUGUGUUUAAGUCCGACAGACAAGUAGGCAGAACUAUGUAAAAUAAUUUGAACGAAUAAUUAAUACUAGUAAUAAAGCUCAUUCUAUGGACUGAACACUUUUAUGUGCAGUGGAUACUCCAUCUACAGAAUGAUGAUGCUUGCAUCAAGAUCCUCAAGAACUGCCACCGUGCUCUUCCAGCCAGCGGUAAGGUGAUCGUCGUGGAAAUCGUCCUGCCGGCCACCACGGAGGCGACUCGUGAGGCGCAGGAUAUGUUCCUUCUAGACGUCAUCAUGUUCAACAACCUUGAGGGUGGAAAGGAGAGGACUGAGCAGGAUUUUGUAAACAUGGCUAGGCUCUCUGGGUUCGAUGGUGCCUUCCGUUCCACCUACAUCUUCGGUAACUUCUGGGCCCUCGAGUUCAACAAGUAGCUGCCAUGGUCAUGCAGACUGCAGCAACUCCGAUAUGGAUAUAUCUACGCCAUGCCUGAAUCGUUGUUUCUAUUAAUCUCUUCUCCUGUAUGUAUUACUUCGACUGUAUCCUUGUUUACAUUAAUGUUGUAUAAGCUGGGCAACAGUACCUAUUUGUAUUCGCGCAAUAUGAUGUGAACUUAUUUGUAUUCUCCUCGGCGUGAGGAAGGACGUUAUAAUAUUUAUGCUUCCUCCUACAAUAAUCAGCUCAUGGAAACGAUCCAUUUGUUCUGA